rnacentral:lncRNA from 1 species
GCCAUUCCUAUGGAGCAACAACCGCCUCUCUCACUGCUCUUUGGCUCCUCUCCUAUCUACAGCCUAUUGUUUCUCCCAUCUCAGUCCUCUGCCUCACCUUCGGCACUCCCUUGCUCGGCAACGAGUCCCUUUGCCGAGCCAUUCUCCGAGAAAGAUGGGGCGGGAGCUUCUGUAACGUUGUCUCGAAGCUCGAUGUAGUACCAAGACUGUUCUUCGCUCCACUAACCUCCUUGACUCCUCAACUGGACUUGCUGCUUCAGUUUUGGCAAGUCGCUAUGGCUUCACCCAUUUUGGACCAGUUUGUUGAAGAAUUGAGGAAACAAAAUUUUGAUGAAUUUUUCGGCAACAUCAAGGAUUGUGUUAGAGACGCUGCACAAUCAGAAGGAGGGGUGAAGAACAGUUUGUAUUGGCCAUUGGGUACCUACCUAUUCUGUUCAGAAAAGGGAGCAAUCUGCCUGGAUAAUGCGGCAUCUGUUGUUAAGAUGAUGCAUUUGAUGCUUGAGGCAGUCUCUCCAGCUUCCAGUUAUGAGGAUAAUCUGAAGUUUUUUCAGGAUCAUAUGAAGUAUGGUUAUUAUACGAAACUGCUUUCUUUGCAAUUCCUGAAGAGGAUAAACAUCAACGGCCUCUCCGAGUCAAGCUAUGAAGCUGGUGUCUUCUUGACAUUACAAUCCUCAGGAAUAGAUCCACAGGUAAUUAAAUGCUCCUCAAAUUCACACGAGACACUAUCUUCUCGGGUUCCUGAUCCGACUCAAAAGCAUAGUCUAUCAGAGCCCUUAUUUCGCGGAAGGAUUUUCUGGGAACAGUCACUCUGAUAUGUGGGGCAGAACUCUCCUUCACUCUCUAAUCCAAGCGCAUACAGAAUGAUGUAGACUUAGACAUAUUUUUGGUGAUCGCUGAAUGACAAGUUUUUAGUCUUCUCUUUGUGGGUUGUGUUCUUAUCACUUUGCAGGAUAACAAUAUUUCGCAACCAGCUAGAGAUUGCCUGCAGAUGGCUCGGCACAUGGGACGUGCACCGAACCUGAACAAUGCUUAUCUAGCUCUUAAACUAUCUAAGAUAACGCCCUGCAGGGCACAACUUGAGUGGUACAAGUUACGCUGCGACGAGUCCUUGGAUCAACUUGGUUACUACGACACAUUCAAGAGAUUUGCAGCAUCCAGGAGGGAGUCCACAGUCGACAUGAACCUGUUCAGACUUGCCGCGUUCUGGGAUGUGGUUAUAGAAAUGGCAGAACAGAACAAACUCUCGCACGAUUUCCACCGCAGGUCCAAGUGGAACAAUGCAUCCCAUUUCUAUAUGCUCCUCGCCGAGCCAUUGGAAAUCGCUCGUUAUUACCGUCAUGGCAUGCACAAGGAGAAGGGGCAUUACAUCAAGCAUGGAAGAAAUCGGAGAUUCCAGAUUUUUGACAGAUGGUGGAUUCGAAGGUUUGCUGCUGUGGCGCAAGAACCACAACAAAAUAACAAUCGAAGGAGCCGGAGCAGGUAUGCAAGCUUGACUCAAGAUUCUUUGUUUUGGGCAAAGGUGGAGGAAGCGAAGGACUGGCUCGAGAUCAUGAAAGAGGAAAGGGACCCGAAUAAGUUGAAACUGCUAUUGGAGAACAUGAACGGUUUCGAGAAGUACGCAGAGAAGCUAAUGGAUAGGAAGGAGGUGUCCGAAGAUGUUCUGGCUGAGAACUCAAGUUACAAAUCAUGGGAUAAGGAUUGGAAAGCUUUCAAGUUGACGCUUCCGCAGCCACCUUCUGCUUCCGUUCCAGACAGAAUGGAUUGCGAUUAAAGAAAAAUUAAUGACAUUCAUCAUUGUUUAUGUGGAGAUCCUCGUCGGAGAGGUGAGUCAGCAUCCAAAUACCAAAACAACGCCGUUUGGUGUCUCCCCCAAUUCAAAACCCUAAUCUCCGGCCGUCGCCGUCCUUGACGGUCCUUGCGCUCGGCGGCCACGGCUUCGACCCCGACCUCGACCCCAACCCCGACGAUGGCCACUCAACGGCAACGGCUCCGACCUCGACCCCGACCCCGACCCCGACGAUGGCCACUCGGCGGCCGUAGCUCCGACCCCGACGAUGGCCACUCGGCGGCCGUAGCUCCGACCCCAACGAUGGCCACUCGGCGGCCGUAGCUCCGACCUCGACCUCGACCCCGACUGCGACGACGGCCACUCGACAGCCGCGGCUCAAACCCCGACCUCGACCCCGACGAUGGCCACUCGACGGCCGUAGCUUCAACCCCGACCCCGACCUCAAUGAUGGCCACUCGACGGCCGCAGCUUCAACCCCGACUCCGACCCCAACCCCGACGACGGCCACGGCUUCGACCCCGUCGAAACCCUAAUUUCUUCCCCAUGUAAGCUAAAUGACGUCGUUUCCAUGAAGCCAUCCACGUAGGACGGCAAAACGACGUCGUUUUCUUAAGGAGGACCGAAAACGACGUCAUUUAAAGGCUUAUCGAUUUUUUUUUUUUAAAUCAUUUUGGUCGGAAUCUUUCGCCAGUGGCACCAAAGUGAGCAUUUUUCCUCCGAUUUGGCACUUAAGUGAUCCGACGGAAACUUUUGGCAUUUAUUGCAGUAAAAACUCUAAACAAACCUCAAGUUCUUUCGUUUUUGUUGUUUUUGUAAAGAAAAUCUGAAGUGAUUACAUCACUUUCAAAAAAGGAUUUGGCUUUUCGACUCGAAAAGAGUACAUUCAUCAUUUACCUUUUUCAUUUUUUCCUUUUUUGAUUUUUUUCUUACUUCUUUGCUAGUGGCCAGAGCUUGAAGACAGUUGGAUGGGGGUUGCUUGCCCUCGCCACCCUCACUGACCACAGGUGAAGACGGCCUCACGUGGGCAAGGGGACGACCUUGCCCUCUCUAGUAGCCAGGGAGGCUGCCCGUAAAAGCCUCAGGCAAGGGUCGCCUCGCUCGCAGACUAUGAGGGUCACAGCCCUCACUAGUUGCUGGUGAGGGCUUGUAGGCCCUUCCCAGCAAUCAAUGUUGUUUUGUGCUAAAAAAAUAAUUGAUUAUUUUUGUGUUGGUAAAUCUUCAACAAGCCUUAGUAAGUAAUAAAAAAAAAAAAGACAGCUAUCGUUUUUCCAACAUAGUUUUAUUUAUACCUUACUAAAUUACCUACUUUCGCUCAUAGUUUUACAAGUGGCUAAUCUUUAUCACAUAAUUUACUAAAACUUUAAACUCACUAACUCUUAUGAUACAUGGGAAAUUUUCGACCUAAAUAAGAGCAAGAGCGAUCUAUCAACUUUUGCCAGAUUAAUUAAAAGACGGUAAUAUGGGAAAUACAUGCGGUCGCCAUUUACCUUUUCGAUUAAUAUUAGUAUUAUCUAUGAUAUAUGUAUAUAGAUAUGAAUAUAGAUAUAGAUGCGAACCGUUGAGUAGACUCUUAUAACGGAGUUAGAUCUGAAUUUUCAAGGAUGCAAAGCUAUGGAACGUGGCCUCCCGUUGUGAAUGGCUUAUUUGAGCCGGUCGCCGAUGCGCUCAAAGCCUCUCUCUCUCAAAAACUCCGACUCUUCUUCUUCGUAGACCACCUGCGUCAAUCUCUCUAAUGGCGAUCACCCUCCUCCAUUCACCUUCUCAUUCCUCCUUCCUUCACGUAACCCUCUUUCUCUCUGUGAUUGAAUCCAUACUUAGUUCAACGUAUCAUCUCGGUUUCUUUGGAGUGCUCUGUUUUCGUCUAUUGUCUUCGACUUCGUGGAAAAACCUCUGCUUUUAGAUUUGGGUUUGCAAUUUGGCGUCGUUUGUCGGUCCUCUGAUUGAUUACUCGCAUUUUUGCAUGUUCAGACUUUUACGGGCUUGAGGCAAAUGCUGGGAGGUAAAUUGUCGGCAAGUGUUUUCCGUGUUUCGGUCCAGUUUUGAGUCGUUCGUCGUGAGCUAGAUUAGCAUUUGAUUGACAUUGUCGCGCUCAUGAGCGGCUUUCGGGUUUUUUUUGUAGAGGCUUUGUCUGAUUAUAGUAAGGUUUCGAACCUUUGUAUGAGAGCUGGGAGGGUCAUUUUCGCAAGGUCGGUUCACAUAUAUGCCUGCAUAUCGGUCCCUGGGGUUUCUUUGGGGAAUCUGGAGAAAGCACCACCCAAGGGACAAGAAGAUGGUGGCUGAUUCAGAUCCUCCAAGCCUUAAGGAUACUGAUUCUUUGCAUCAGUUUUUUUAAUUCAAGGUCCGAUCUAGAAUUUUUUUUACCCUUUGCCUGCGAUGACAACUUACUUUUAGUUAUGUUCCCAAGUGUCUUGUUCCAUGAUUAAAUUCAUGUUGCUGACCUAUGUUUGUCUAAAUUGGCUUGCAGUAUGAAGCUUGUGGUUUUGACUGGAGCUGGAAUGAGCACGGAGUAUGGUAUUCCCGAUUAUAGAAGGUUCUUUUGUUAAUGUUUAGAAUGAUAUUUUACAUAUAGCGGACAUUUCAAUGGAUAGAAGUCACUGAUGGGUGGAGAUAUUUCAUUCUGGAUGAUUUGAGAUAUAACAGCCACUCUUCUCAUUAAUUUGUUUUAAACUAUUUAUAUCAAAGAUGGUUUGAGUAUGUUUUCAUGGCUAUUCUAUAUCUUUCAAUUUGGAUAAAUAAGUGACUGGGAAGAACUGGAAGAGAGAUCUUGCUGUGAUGCUGCAUCAUGAAACUAGUCUUCAAGGAAUGCACUCUGCAUAACCUUGUGGUUUAAAUGUAUUUUCUGAAAGUGCUAGUAUGAACACCUAGAGGAUGGUGAAUAUGUGUAAAAAUAGAUUCUGCAAAAUGCAGUGAAAACCUUUACUUUUAACCUAAAUCUGAAUAACAAUAGACUUUUGAAGCUGAGUCUGAAAAGCAACAGAUUUAAGCGAGUUUAGACUUUAGCAAUUAAAUAGAAUUAUAAACAAAAUAAAGGAGUUCGGGAAAGAGAAUAAGAACACAAGGUUUAUAGUAGUUCGGCUUAAAUUAAGCCUACGUCUACUCUCCCAUGCUAACAGCCUUCUUGGCUGGAUUCCACUAUGCAAUCAAUAAGAGAUUACAACUUUGAGUGCAAACACUUAGUAGUAGAUCACAAUAUCUCACUAAGUCACUCUUUUGAUAUUUCUUUCACGAUAACAAACGUUUAAGCUCACAAGAGACAAAUGUAUGAUCGAAGGUCACUCAAACUUUGGAAUUAUAAAUUCUACGCUCCGUCUCUUACUUGCUUAUCGGUCCUUGAUCUCCUUAAAUACUCGUCCACUUCCAAACUAGACGUUGAACAAUAACUUGAGGAUCGUCUUCUAAUCUACAUGUUGGACAGAUCUGUAUUUAGAAGAUUUGGUAGCUGUUGAGUGAUAAAAGUAGAACCCAAAUUAAUUCUGAUCGCCCAUACAAACAGAAUCUUGAUUUCCAUAAGUAAAACUUCUUUAUAUAGAAAGUUUUUUGUCUUCAAGAUAUAAUUGUCAAUCAACUAGAUUGAGUCAAUCAAAUCAAUCUUGAUGUAGAAUCCAAACCAGAUCACUAGUUAUUAUAUGAUUGAGACUUGUGUUACGUUCUAUUUCGUUUUGGAUGUAAAGUCUGAGAGUCUUCAGACUGAAGUAGAGUCUUAGUGUCUUCAGACUGAAAUAUAUUUUACAAUCUGAACGUCAGUCUAAACAUAUUCUGCUUCUGAACAGAUUUAACUUUAAAGUCUUAACACAGUCUGAAUAAAUUCAGCUUCAGCAUAGAAUUUGUCUUGUGGAUCUUCAUUCACGUUCAGUUUGGAAUUUGUCAAAGUUGACAAAUUUCUGACGUAGAAUAGACUUUGACAUUAAAAUCUUGUAGUCUUUAGACUUUAACACAAAAGUUUGGAAAUUUUCAGAAUACUUUGGACAUGUGUUACGUUCAGUCUUCUGGCCAUCUUCAGACUUUGACAAUAUCAUUUACAUGUUCUAUCAUUUACAUGGUCUAUUACUUAACCAUUAAAAACGUUAGUAACUUUUGAUUUAUUUUGUCAUAUUCAAAACAUCAUAAGAGAUUUCCUUAACAUUUUCACAUAUGUGGUAAUGUUUGUAUGAUUGCACUCUCAUGUUAAGCUUUCAUGCCAAAUGUGACAAUUUGUAAUUCUGUCUGCAUUGUAUAUAUGUUGACGGGUUCUUUCAUAGCUAAGACAAACCCUUCCAACUUUUAUUUGUUUUUUGCAGUCCAAAUGGGGCUUAUAGCAUGGGUUUCAGGCCAAUUACCCAUCAGGUGAUCUGAAGGCACGUGUUGGGAUUUGUAGCUUCACUUUUUCUCCCUCCCUCCCUCUCUCUCUGUUUUUUUUUUUUUUUUGGGGUUUAUUGAUUGCAUUAUGUAAAUAGCAACACUUUACUUAUUAUGAAGAGAUGAAGCAAAUAUGGAGGAUAAAUUUGAAAUUGAAGGGUCCUCUAGUACAUGUAUACAAAUUUUGGAUAAGGAAGAGGCAUAAAUAAAAUAGGUGGUGAGAAUUGGAGGCCAGCUUAUUUAAUUGAAAGAGCAUAUUCCAUAGGGAACAUUUUUGUCUCGUGAAUGUCUUUGGGAUACUUCAAUUAGAAUGUGUCUGUGGAAGUAGCAUAAAAUCAGGAUUGGGAUCAUGCCUAAGAAAAUAAGGGAGGACAUUCAAGGAAGUUUGUUGGAUUUUGGUUGUUAUAAAUGAUAUGAUACCAUCAAAAGUACAAUAAUGUGUUGUAGUUAGCUGACUUUGCAUAUGGAGAAGACCUGUCAUCGGUUCUUGCUUUAAUAAGAUCUUUUCAGUUUCUUCUUGGGGCUUCUCUGUUGUUUUCAUCUUUUUAACUGUCUAACUGUGCCUAAGAUCUUCAGCAGCUCUCAUUUUUUGACUUUAUUUCAUUAGGAAUUUGCUCGUUCUAAACUGGCCCGUAGGCGAUAUUGGGCAAGGAGCUAUGCUGGAUGGAGAAGUUUUAUUGCAGCACAGCCUAGCGCGGCUCAUUAUGCCCUUGCGUCACUAGAAAAAGGCUGGUCAAAUAGAUUUUAUGAUUACCCAAAAUGUUGACGGGUAAAUGUAUAAAUUUUAUGACAUUUUCAGAAAUUGGAGGAAAUCAGCUGAGGUGAUUGUUUUGCUAAAGUGGGCGGCUGCAAUAGAAAGUUUGGAUAAUGGAAACCGUGGUUCAGACAAGAGCUUUGGUAUGAAGGGGAGGCCUGAUGGUGACAGUGAGAUAGAUGAGAAAUUCUGGGGGGAGGAUUUUACAGUCCCCUACUUGCUAAAAAUGUGCUGGGGUGCUUAAACCAGAUGUAAGGAUCUUUCAUCUACAUUUUACAUUUUCCUUUUGUAGCAUUUCUGAGGUAAUUAGCUCCCUGAUGUUGAAUCGAAGGUCAAGUAUGUCUUCUUACUUAUGUCUAUAUUAUUUGAAAAGGGAAAUUGACGAUGUAUUGCCAUGGUCCAAGUAUUUUUGCAAAAGUAAAUUAGUAUACUCUUUCCCAAUUUUUUUGAAAAGAUGCUCCUUGGGGUCAUAUCUAGGAAUGGAAAGAUUUAAUAUGAAAUAGCCACGGUCUUUCAAUGUUUCUUCUCAUUUCUUGUCCCUUUGUAGGUUAAUCUCCUUUUACUAAGGUUUACUUUGCACCACCGAAAAAAAAAAACAAAGAAAAGGAAAAGAGAUAUUUUAAUGUGCUUGUUUGGCCAUUUUCAAGAUGAUUUACUAUCAUAUGAUGUGCGGAUGGACCUCUUUUAUUGUUUUAAAAGUAGGAGAAAACAAAGUAUAGUUUCCAUGGUGUCUUAAGCACUGUUUAGUAACCAUCCAAAUAGUGCAUGAUUCUGAUUUUUUGUUCCCAGAAUUAGUUUGAAAAUAUAAUCGCGUUUGGUAUAUUUUUUGUUCCCAGAAUCAGUUUUGGACAAGAAUUGAAAAUAUAUAUAUUUCUUGGUCUGAGAAUCAAAAAGAGAAUCAAAUUCUUCUUCUUCUCUUUUCUUCUUCUUUAUCAACUGCCAUCCCGUGACUGCCGACCGCCAACUACCGUUCGCCGGUUGCCACCGCCAAUCGCCGACAACCUAUCUGGCGAGCUCACCAGAGGCAAGCCCAGCCACCGGCAAGGCUCGGCAUCGCCAGAUCUGGUGAGGCUGAGCCUCGCUGGUGGCUAAGCGGGCCUCGCUAGGGCUAGGCGAGGCUCGCCCAGCCCUGCCGGUGGCUAGGCAAGCCUCACCUAGCCUCGGCGAGGUCGGCCUGGCCAUUGGUGGCCUCGCCAAGGGCCAGCAACGCUUCGGUGAGGUCGCCGGCCCUCAUCUGGCCGGUCGUUGGACCCAUAAUGCUCCAGUGAGGUCAUCAACUCUCGUUUGGCCAGUCACUGGACCCGCGACCAAUCUGAAGAAGAAGAAUUAAAAGAAAUUGAUUUGGAACAGAAUCAAUGAACACGAUACCAAUGCAAUUCUAUUCCAGAUUCAUAAAUUUUGUACGGUACCAAACACAAUUCUAUUCCAGAAUCAAAAAUUUUGUACAGUUACCAAACACGUUCUUUUACUCAGAAUCAAUUCCCAUGAAUAGAAUUAAAAAAAAAAAAAUCAUUUCCGAUCAGAAUUUGUUCUCGGAAACAGAUUCAUUACCAAACGCGCCCUUAGAGAAGUUUGGAUGCACUUUGUAGUCAAAUUAUAGUGUGUAUCUGAACUUAGCUGUACUUUAUCACAACCUGCAUCGUGCAUUAAUUAAAUAAACUAGUACAUUUUUGAUAAUUAGUUUCCGUUGGUAUACUUGUGAUGAACGAAGGGUAAAACCCUAAAUUGGUAUUAUAUCAAUUGUCAUGUGUCAUCUAACUUAGCAAUUUAAUGGGAAAAUUUAACGGAAAGUAGUGGUUGGCAAAGUUGUCAUGGGUGUACCAAUUUAAGGUUUUUGGUGGUCAAAUAAUUAAUUAUGAGUAAAUUUAUCACAAAUAUACCACUUUAAAGAUUUUCGUGAUAUUAACCCUUGUUUAUUUUGGUUUUUAAACCUUAGGAAGUUUCGUGAAUGUUCUCUGAGAGGUGGCUGCAUAUCUUUCCUACGAAAAGGCCAUCAAAGAACAGAGCAAUUGCCCCAUGAUAACAUAGUAAUUGACCGUUGACCGUCCUUCAUCUUCUUCUCAGAAAGUCAUUUACAUUCAACUCCUUUUCUUCGACAUAUCUGCAAAGAACCAUCGGUGUGACGAGCAAUCCCAUCUUUGGCGUCAGUUCGCCGGGCCCACCAUUCUGUCAUAUAGCCGCUCUCGCCUCUCAGAGUAAUCCACUCCCAUUCAGACAUUUUCACAACACACCCAAGGCCAGACCUUCCUGCUCGAAACAGAGAACAAAAGACUCGAGCACUCUCCAUCGAGGCCGAGUCAUCACUGUGCGUGACAAAACCCAACUCUCUCUGUUGCCCUUUUAUCACCCGAUGUCGAAGUGCCUCCUUUCUCACCCAGUUGUGUUUACUGAUGCAGGUUCGAGAGCAGCGGGAUGCUGGCAAGUUUCCUGGUGUCGACGCCCUUCUUGGAGGAGUCAUGGAGGCUGUGCAGCCUCGCGAACUCCACCGCUCUGAGGAGCUUCGUGGUGGACCAAUGCGGAGAGGUUGGGUACCUGGCAUUCUCAGGCGUCCAGGAGAUUGACAGGUCCGAGCCGAGCUGCGGGACCCUGAUGGCGCUGGGCGAGGGCGGAUGUGAGGAUCUGUUCUUGCCAUUGAAGUGUGACGGCAACGGCGAGGGGACGGUCAAUGUGGACGCCGGAUUCGUCCGUCUCUUCCUGGGGUUUUACCCGCAACAGGAUUUCCAAAACCAGGUGCACAGUCGUUUUGCCCUUUUUCGACUUUGACUUAGUAGUCCGAAUACACGACUUUUGUUCUUUUCUGGGUAAUUUUUGUCACAUCUUCUGUCGGUCGAGCAUUAUCAACUUCCUCGAGAUUAUGGUUUAGCUCUCAUGAAUUGGACAGUUUAGUCCGGACCUACUACAUGUGAAUACGACAUUUUAAAAGCGCAAAAAGCCGCGGUUUUAUUUUAUUUUAAGCAGAAAAGAACCCCGAUAGGGGCGGUUGGUAGGAAAUGUGUAAACACUUGCACGGCAGGCUUAAGUCUACAGUACUUCGUAAGGUAGCGUCUCUGCAUUUUCUUGCCUCGGCAGUCCUUGCUUGCAGGUCUUCUUUUCUUCUCUUUUAACAGUGAGUUCAUUCCAUGCACUUGAUAACAACAAGAAAAGAGCAAUGAGUUUGAUAGCACGAGAUUGCAACGUUCCUUUUUUACCGAAGUCAAUAUUUAUUUAAAUUUAAUGUGACUUAGUUUUUCAAGGCCUAAUAUGGAAAAAGUCACUGCAAAAUACACGAAUUCCACAAAUCCUCCUCCUAAUUUGAAUGGAUUUGGUAGGAUUUAAAAUUUACAUAGAAAGCAAAUUAGGAUACUAGUUCUUAACCCUUAUAUGUGAAGGUGAUGUGAGGGUGUAAUUAAUUAAGAACUUUUGAAAAUCUAUUGACCAUCCCUUAUUCUGGAAAUCCUGCUACUGACCACUAGAAAGCAAAAGAACUAAUUCAUCUAAGAGCAACAGAGAUGCAUCAACUAUCAAGGUUUUCUUCAGAAGAACCAUAUUCGUUUUGUUGAACUUACCAAAUUACAAAUAGCUGGACAGUCUUACAGAACUGUGCAUGAUUGCUGGAAACUGUUUUGAGAGAUUAAGCUCGUACAAUAGAUAUAUAAAUCGAACAGUUCUUGGAUUGUAUUAAAUUACUAGUUUAGGUUAUUUGUGUUCCUCAUAUAUCAUAUUCCCGGGUCAUGUGUUGAAAAUCUAGAUGUAGUCUUUCUACAGAGCCAUAAUUGUAUUGUAGUUUCUAGUAAUAAACUAUUGAUAUUGUCUCCAGUCUUCUUCUUCUUUUUAAUUUUGGAAGGUCAUUGACAUUAGUCGUACCAGCAUUUGAACUAACCAAAAGUUUCCCUUGAGUCAUGCAUUAAGUUUUCCUCAAUUCUUGCUUUCGUUCUGAGAGCAAAAUAUGCGAAACCCUUCAAGCGUUGAGCUGCUUUCUGCAUGCAGAUUCAGGAAUUUCUAAAAAAAUUUAAGAUGAUUGUCCUCACUGGCCAUUCCUUUGGAGCAACAACCGCCUCUCUCACUGCUAUUCGGCUCCUCACCGUUCUCCAGCCCAUUGCUUCUCCCUUCUCAGUCCUCUGCAUCACCUUUGGUAUUCCCUUGCUUGGCAACGAGUUCCUUUCCCAAGCCAUUCUCUGAAAAAGAUGGGGUGGGAGCUUCUGUAACGUUGUGUCGAAGCUCGAUGUGGUACCGAGACUGUUCUUCACUCCACUAACCUCCUUGACUCCUCAACUGCAUUUGCCGCAUUGGUUUUGGCAAGUCGCUAUGGCUUCACCCAAUUUAGACCAGUUUGUUGAAGAACUGCGAAAACAAAAUUUCAAUGAAUUCUUUGGCAACAUCAAGGAUUGCGUUAAAGAUGCCGCACAAUCAGAAGGAGGGGCGAAGAAUAGUUUGUAUUGGCCCAUUGGGUAGCUACCUAUUCUGUUCAGAAGAGGGAGCGAUCUGCCUGGAUAAUGCGAUGUCUAUUGUCAAGAUGAUGCAUUUGAUGCUCGAGACAGCCUCUCAAGCUUCCAGUUUUGAGGAUCAUCUGAAGUAUGAUUAUUAUACAAAAUUACUUUCUUUGCAAUUCCAGGAAAGAAUAAACAUCAACAGCCUCUCCGAGUCAAGCUACAAAGCUGGUGUCUCAUUGGCAUUACCAUCCUCUGGAAUAGAUUCACCGGUAAUCAAUUGUUUCUCAAAUCCACACGGAUACCAUCUUCUUGGCUUCCUAAUCCUACUCAAAAAAGGAUUUUCACAUCACACAGGCAUUAAUAUUAUUUGCAUCAAUUAAGUGUUAUUUUUAUUUAAAUUUCCCUUAUUUUAUUGCAUUUCGGAUGGAUUUGAAAAGAAGAAAAGGGCUGAAGCCCAGCCCCUUUCUUCUUUUUUUCUUUCCUCUUCGCCUGGGCCAGGCCCAUUUGGCCCUCGGCCUCUUUCCCUUUCUCCUCUUCCUCCCCCUUCCUCUGCAUCUGGCGCACGCGCGAAGGACGCCGUAUGUAGAGUAAAGGAGCAAAGCAAGCGCAGAGUAGAGGAGGAGCGGAGCAGUUGGGCGGCAACAAAGGGGACGGCUGAGCAGGCUUGUCGCGCAGAUUGGACAGGGACUUGAUCCCGGUUCAGCCAAGGCAGAGCCAGUCGGCUGACCAAGCUCCUCGCCUAUAAAUACCAAGGCCACGAGCUUGGUUGAAAAAAGGGGGAAAUGGCGGAUGAGGGAGAGGAAAAAAGGGAGAAAUCGUGAAAGGGGGGAGAGAGCAGGGUUCGGUUUUGAGGAAGGCCGAGAGAGAGAGGGAGCUAGGACGGAGAUUGAGAGAACCAAUAGAGAGGGGGGUUUUCUUUUAACUUUUAAGAGAAAAUUCAUUCUGUGCACUUCAUAACGACAAUAAAAGAGUGUUGAGAACUCCUUGUGCACUUCAUAAAAACAAGAAAAAGAGUGUUGAGUUUGACGGCAUGGGAUUGCAAUAUUUUGUAGUGUGUCCGAAAUUGAGCUAACAAUAGUUUUCAGAUAGAUAUAUUACGUCCUCACCAACCGGUUUGGUGUUUUGAGUUUGAUGGUGAUUUUUUAAGUAUAAAAUAAGAUAUGAAAUAUCAUUUUUUUUUAAAUAUUGUUUCCUCCAUUUCUUCCUUCUUGUUUUUUGUGUUUUUUUUUUCUUUUGACCAUGGAUUGAUAAUCAGGUCAAAGAAACACAGGACAUUAAGGCUGCACAUGAUAAUUUCUAGAAUAGAAAUUGAUUUCUGGCCAGAAAUUAAUUUCUCAAUUUCUAUUCCCCAGACAAGUUUCUGAGCAAAGAAACCCGUUUGAUAAUAACUCAAAAUUUCUAUUUUUGGAACAGAAAUCCGUUUAGGACGAGUUUUUGGAACAGAAAUGAAUUUUUCUAUUUCUAUUUCUGGACGAGUUUCUAAGGAAAAAAAUCUAUUUGAUAACGAUACAAAAUUUCUGUUUCAGAAAUAGAAAUUCGUUUGAUAAUUGAAUAAAAUUUUUAUUUCUUAAAACAAAAUUUUCUUUUUUUGGAGCAAAUGAAAUGUACAUUCUUACAAAUUUCAUAUGCUUAUGAAAUCAUUGACCCAAAUACAAAGUAUGACUUCUUCUUUUUUAAGUAAAGUCUCCAUUUUUUGCAAAAAAAAAAAAAAAAAAAUACAAAGUAAGAGAUGUUAUAUCAAAUUUUCUAAAUUUUCACAUAAAAUUCUUUAGCAUCCACAUAGAUAGGUAAUUACGGUCAAACAAUAUAUACUUAUCAAUAGUCUCCAUACAAUAGAAAAAAGAGAUCAAUAAAUAUGCAUUACUCUUGAGCAUGAUAGAAGGUUCCCAAAAUUCUAGUAGAAUGAAGGUGGGCAACCAUAUUCUAAUCCCCUUCAUGCUAGUGUGUCACGUUGAUCGCCGCCACGGUUUACGAUAUCGAGCAAUCAUUUUAGAAAGAAACACUAAGAAGUGUAUUGGGUAAUUUGCGGCAAAUUUUACAAAAUCGGCGAAUUUUACGAAGUGUAACAAGGACCAUUACAAAUAAGGGAAAUCAUCAAGUAGAACAUCACAUUACAAGAACUGAGAUAGGAAUCAUCAAAUACAUUAUCACAAUACAAAAGCAAAGAUUGUAAAUCCCCAAAUACAAAAUAAUAGAAAUACAUUACAAAAAUUAAAUACACGAUUUCAUGGAAUCUCCUGCAUAUUAUGAUCCCUUGCCAUCUUAUUGACAAUAUUCUUUCUAAGCAUAUUCAUCUCAAUUUCCUCCUCGGUCGAUGUAUCACCUACAACCUCAUCUUGUACAGGUUCACAUGAGUACUCUGGAUCUCCAUAUAAGGAAAAGUUUCUAUCCCUCAUGUUUUGAUCACGGAUGUAGUUAUGGAUAGCACAACAUGUAAUUACAACAUGUGCUUGCUUUCGAAUUGCAAAUGCAGGCAUGUGUUUCAAAAUAAAGAAACGAUUCUUUAAUGCCGCAAAUGAUCUCUCAAUGACAUUCCUUAGUGAAGAAUGCCUAUAGUUGAACAACUCUCUUGCUGUUCUUGGUCGUCUUGCUUUACCCUUAUACUCAUUUAGAUGAUACUGUUCGCGUCUAAAAGGAGUUAAGAAUCCCGAAAUUGAUGCAUAACCAGAAUCUACAACAUAGUAUUUGUCUAUAACAAAAUAUUCAUAUAUUAGUAGUGAUUUGUAAAUACAAUACAAUCUUAAAGAAAAUUGAUAAUUCUAGAACAAGUAAAAAUACCUAGUGGAGGUCGAGGAAAUUCCAAGCGAGGAGUCUCGAGUGCUGUUGAUAACACCCUGCAAUCGUUGGCAGAUCCUUCCCAACCAGCAUACACAAAAGUGAAUUUCAUAUCAAACGAACAUACACACAUCACAUUUUGAGUGGUACCUUCUUUUCUGCCUCUAAAUGGGAUUUGCUUCGACAAAAGUAUAGAAGCAUGAACAUGAGUACCAUCAAUAGCGCCCACACAAUCCUAUCGUUUUAUCAAAGACUAGUGUUAUAUAAGAUUAGCAACAAAAUGAAACCGAUAUUGUAAAUGAAUGUAUGAAAAUCUUACCUUGAAAUAAAGUUUAUGGUUGGGAUCCAUAAGAAUCUCAUUUGGGACCACAUCAAAGGAAGGCGGUACGAUAAUCUCUUUUGCAAGUUUGAGAACUGCUAGCAACACUAUAGUGAAGUAUUUGCUAAUAGUUUGUCCCGAACGUUGGAAUCUCUUGCAUAAAGAUCUAUUCGAGUUCUUGUGACAAAUCAUAAAUAAGAAUAUCCCAAUUUGUUCAUCUACCUUUAUAUAUCGACUAUCUUUCAGCCAACCUCUUGCCUUCAUCAAAUCACAAAGAUUGAGAAAAACGUGUCUCUCCAUUUUAAAAGAUUCAUAUAUUCUAUCUGAAUGUCCUUGAAGAACCUCCAUCAUCCAUUCGAGUCCUGACAAUAUACUAUCCCUAAUAGGUUCUCUCGAAUGCAAAGACAUAUCCACCGCAACCAUGCUCAACCAUGCUGUCAUAAUAUCGAUAUCAAAAUCAUUAAAGAUUACUUCAACCGAUUCACCUGUUGCUACUUGAUCACUACACAUGCUACUUUCACCCCCCUCCAUAUUACCUAUGCCUUCACAUGCAAAAAAAAAAAGAAAGGAUAAACACAAUAUGUAAGUAAGAAAUCUAAUAAUAAUCAACAAUAGCCACAAAUUUUUCAUAAUUGCAUCAUAAAAAGACCAAAGUAUCUCAAAUACAUAAGUCAUAGAGUGAAAUUAAAUAAAAUAUAUAAAUCCAUAGCAUACUACUCAACAUCUGUUUAAAGAGAUUCAAGAAAUCCACGUCUCCUUUCAGGUAGCAUUGUGAUAAAAGCCUCUCUCCAACUGGCAUGAAGACAUGAUUGGUUCACAGCUUUGUUGUAAAUAUUCUGCUCUAAAUCAGGCAUACUAUUUAAGACGGCAACCACGGCUGCUGUGGAGUAGGGGUCUACAGUUGAUGGGGCAUCUGAGGUCACAGAGCCACUUGUUGAUUGAGCCGUCCUAAUUUUAAUCAUUUCUUGAAUGGCUUUGCAGGUGUCCCUAACAUCAUAUCUGGUACUCUUCCUCCUCCUCUUAGAAUUUGGAGUCCUAUCACGCUUGUGUUUCUUAAGAUUUGAGGUAGUAGUCGUAUCAGGUAUGAAGGCCUCAUCAUCAAUAUGAUGUUCAUCAAAUUCCUCUGGAUCACCUACUGCAUAACCACUACCACCAUCACCAUUGUCACCACCAUUGUCAUCUCUCUCAGAGGACACUACCACUUCUUCAGCAUAUCCUACCACUUCUUCUGCAUUUCCUGAUGCAUAGUUCCCAGAAGCAUAUGUAUCACCAAACACGAUACAUAAAUCAUGAUACUGAGAAAACCCAUUAUUUCUGAAUUUAGCCCAUUCGCUAUUAUUCUGUAAUUUAUAUAAUAAUGACAGAUGUCAGUAAUAUAAUCAAAGCUUACAAUACAAUAUGAACAAAAUGACAUUGGUAAAUUGAUACCUUGAUGUGAGACUCCCACACACUUUGAUCAUCCACAACAACCUUAUUGUUUAUAUUAUCCUAUCCAAAUCCAGAUUAUGACAAAAGUUUCUUGAAACUACUAUAAUGUUUCUUCAGUUUGUUGACCCUGUUCUUCAACUGAAUUACACUAAAGUUGAGUCCCAUCCAGCUAUUGAAUUCGGCAUGUAUGUUAUUCCAUCAUGUUUUGUUGAAGGUAGAAGUGGUGCGAUUUCCCUUUGUUACCUCUGUUACCAACAAGCUUACAAGCUCAUUGGUUAAAGGCUCAGUCCACUUUGCCAUACAAACCUCUUUGUGGGAAGCCAUAUAACCUUAACUACUUGAGCAUCAAAUGAGCCAUAUUAAUUGCUGUACCAGUUCAAGCACGUAGACUUUGAUGUCGAUAUCACAUCAAGCAAAAAGAGAAUAAUCCUCGUAUACAAUUUUACAAGCAACCAUAUAUUAUAAGCAAAAAAACCAUUCCUACUCGCUUGACCUAACAUCAAAAUCACAUAUGAAAAUCUGAUCUAUUGUAUGAGCAAUUCUUUUAAUAAUAUGGUAACUAGCUAAUUACAUAGAUGUGACAUAUAUUUUCUAUGCAUGAAUUUCCACAAAGAUGCCCACAUGUAUCUUUUUCAAGUGAAUUUGCACAUUAGAUCUCUGUUUGUGGCUUUAGUGCAAAUUAGAGUCAAAAUACUGAGACAAUACCAAAAAGUUGAGUGACAUGGGAUAAAUCAAAGUAUAGCUGCAAAAGUAUGAAACUUGCCCUAAGGUAAUCUUCAUCAAAUAUAUCUAACCAAAAAAUGCCGAGAAUGCAUGCUCAUUGGCCACAAGUCAUUCUCCUUCCUUUCGACCCUAAUGCCAAAGCACCAUUUUCUUUUUAUAUUAUGUAUCACAAAUUUUCACAGAAGUUUCUUAAUAAAGGCAACCUCACUAUAACUCAAACAAUUCGCAUUCAUGCAGGUAAUGGCGCAAAUGUGAUUACUCAAUCUACCUCAAGCAAUGGAUAUCUUGAUAUCUGAAGUUUUAAUUUAUUCGAUAUGAUGUCUGGUGGAGGAGGCAGCGGACCAGCUCUGAAGAGAAUGCGUUGGACAGGAUCCUAAGGUUGAACUCCAACCGAAAGCCAAUAACUAAACGGAGCACAGAAUAUUCUAUCACGCAUGGCGGAACAUGUACAUUAGCAUGCAAUUAAGGUACCUUGCAGAUACAAAAGACAAUUAAAAUGAAACAAAAGAAAAUGCAAGCAUACGUGUGCACGUAUAUGCAUAACAGAGAAAUGCGGAACGGGAGAAUUUUGAAGAGAGCUUUUGCCCUCUCUAGCUCCAUAAACACCAAGAAUAUCUUCUAUCGUAAGCUUACAUUAUCAUGUAAGUCAAUAGAGGAGGAUAUAUACAACACGCCCAUGGGGUCGUCACUAGCAAUUAACAAUAUCUAUUAGGCUUUUGCACCUCUCUUAAGAUUGCAACUGAUCAGAAGAAAACAAAUGUAUCGGUAAAAUCUUAUGGAGAAGUUAGUACUAUCAACAGCAAAUUCAGAAAAUCAAUUAAUCUUCUCUCACUUGUAUCCCAAGUUCCCAACAUAAAACCUCAAGGAUGCACAAUGAAAGGAAAGCUUGGAUUUGACUAAAAAGAAUUUCUUAUCACCCUUAGCCUUAAAACAGCCUCAUCUCCGACUCCCAAAAAAAGAAAGCAGCUUCUGAGCAAAUGACCCAGGGAACAUAUCAAAAUCUAGAGAGUCAUCCUAUUUGUCAAAAGAGAAGCUGCAUUUCAUCAGCUCAAAACAACAACAAAAUUUUCAGCCAAAGUGUAGCCAAGAUUGGAUGUUUGGUUCAAUCAUAUCCAUGACAAACUAUCUUUCAAGCGAUUAUCACAAACUUACAAAGCCCCAGAAAAAAUCAUGCAGUAGAGCACUCAAUAGAAUCUCCCGAUAACAACCCCAAUCAUCCAGAAUCGCAGCACCGAAUCCGGCGUCUCGGCCCAUCGUUCCCGCCUCAAACUCGAUGCCACCAAAGCGCAAUGCAGAGCACUCAACAGAGAGAGAAAAAGAAGAAUCAUGGCACCGAUUCCGGCGUCUCGGCCCAUCGCUCCCACCUCAAACUUGACGCGACCAAAGCGCAAUACAGCAGAGCACACAACAGAGAGAGAAAAAGAAGAAUCGCGACACCGAAUCUGGCGUCUCGGCCCAUCGCUCCCGCCUCACACUCGACGCGACCAAAGCGCAAUGCAACAGAGCACUCAACAAAGAGAGAAAAAAGAAGAGGAAUAGGCACGAACCAGAGAAGGGAGGAGAAGGUUCUACUUCUUUGCGCACUUCACGGUCGUGGGCCUCGUCGGACGAACACGAGCGGCUCCGGUGUCUGCUACAGAGGGCUUCUGGAUGAGGCGAAGGAGCGGAUUCGCGAGCAACUCGUCGCUGGAUGAGGAGAGGGCACGCAGCGUUGCUGAGGUCGCGGGGCGAUGGCGUCUUUUGGUGAGACGGAGCAAAGUAGGAACGGCUUGGGGCGUCGGUGCUCGGAUCUGUUGCAGAGGGCUUCUGGCUUCACAGGGGAACGAGCGGCGGGGGUGCAGAGAAGAGGCGGAGCAGAGGCGGAGAGGCGCGGGGUGAUGGCGUCUUUUGGUGAGACGGAGCAGAGCAGGAGCGACUUGGGGCGUCGGUGCUCGGAUCUGUUGCAGAGGGCUGGCUUCGCAGGGGAACGAGCGGCGGGGGUGCAGAGAAGAGUCGGAGAAGAGGCGAAGCAGAGGCGGAGAGGCGGAGGAGAGGCGGAGCAGAGGAGGCGGAGGAGAGGCGAAGGAGAGGCGGAGGAGGAGGAGGCAGAGAAGAGGCGUACGAGGGAGAAAAGAGUGAAAUUAGGGUUAGGAGAAAUCAGAAAUUAAUUUCUGAAGAAAUCAGAAGUAGAAAAUUUAUACUUUUGAUUUCUCCUCCAUUUCUAUUUUUGGAAUAGAAAUCUAUUCCAGAAAUAGAAAAUUUGAUAAGCAUUAUCAAACAAGUUUCUGUUCCAGAAAUUGGUCUGAAACAGAAAAACCAUUUCUGGAACAGAAAUUAUUUUUAUCAUGCACCCCCUUAAUAACAUUGCUAUUUUAUUGGCAAUAAUUUUCCUAAGCAUAUUUAUUUAGUUUCCCUCCUCGGUCAACUGAACAUUUGCAAGCUCAUCCUGCGUAGAUUUAGCCAAGUACAUCGGAUCUCUAGAUAGGGAAAAGUUCUUAUCCAUCUUGUCUUGAUCACGAAUGUAAUUAUGGAUGACACAACAUGCAAUUACGAUAUGUGCUUGCUUUCGAAUUGCAAAUGAGGGCAUGUGUCUCAAAAUGAAAAAGCAAUUCUUCAAUGCCCGAAAUGAUCUUUCAAUGACAUUCCUUAAAGAAGAAUGCCUAUAGUUGAACAAUUUUCUUGCAGUUGUUGACCGUCUCGCUCUACCCCUAUACUUAUUUAAAUGAUACCGGUCACCUCUAAAAGGAGUUAAAAAUUCGGAGUUGCUGCAUAACCAGAAUCCAUGACAUAGUAUUUGCCUAAAACAAUGUAUUCAUACAUUAGUCAUAAUUUGUAACUAUAAAUAUGAUCAUAAAGAAAUUACUCCUUAAAGGACAAACAAAUACCUGGUGGCAGCCGAGAAAAUUCCAAGUAAGAAGUCUCUAGUGCUGCUGCAAGCACUCGAUAAUCGUUGGCAGAGCCUUCCCAACUAGCAUAUACAAAAGUAAAUUUCAUAUCAAAUGAACAAACGCACAUCACAUUCUGAGUGAUGAUGCAUUUCCUACCUCUAAAUGGGAUUUGCUUCGACAUAGGUACAGAAGCAUGAAUGUGGGUGCCAUCAAUAGCGCCUAUACAGCCUUGUCAUUUUAUCAAAGAUUAGUAUUAUACAAGAUUAUCAACAAAAUAAAAUUGAUGGUGUAAAGUAAUAUAUGAGAAUUCUACCUUGAAGUAACGUUUAUGCUUAGGAUCCAUAAGAAUCUCUUGUGGGACAACACAAAAGGAAUGUGGUAUGAUAACCUCUUUUGCCAAUUUGAGAACAAAAAUUCUAUUUUUGAAUGAUGGAGAAAAGGAAAUAAUUUCUGUUUCUAUUUCAGAAACAGAGAAGCUACAAUUUCUAGCUUCUAAUUUCUCCUCCAAAUCAAUUUAUGGAAUAGAAAUCCGUUUCAGAAAUAGAGAAAUCAAAUUGCGUUACCAAACGGAUUUUCUGUUCCAAACCUGUUCCGGGAAACAAAGAAAUAGAGAAAUCAAGAAACAUAAAUUUUAUCAUGUGCAGCCUAAGAGGGUGCAUGACAAUUGCCUAUUUUUGUUCCAGAAACAAUUUUUCUAUUCCAGACCUAUUUCUGGAAUAGAAAUCCAUUUGAUAAACUUAUUCCGAUUUUCUAUUUAUGGAAUAGAUUUCUAUUCCAAAAAUAGGUUUAGAAUAUGUCGCGACCUACCCCUUAGGGGGAGGGAACAAGUUUAGGGGUAUUGCUUAAAUAACAUACCUAAGGCCCCUGAUUAGGCAUGAGCUAUCCCAAGCCCAUACCUCGCGUGACGUUGGGAUAUAUUUUAGGAAUUUUGCACAAAAGGAGUCGCUACUAGCCUAUUGGGGUCGGCUGGAAACCAAAUGAGGCAUGGAAGUGUACUUCACUUCCUACGCAACCAAAGAAUUUAGGAUCGGGGACUUAAUUACACUAAUUGACCAAUUAGUGCCCUUUCGGUACCUAAUCAUGUUCAUUUUAAGAGUAAAAUUUUUUGUCAAACAGUUUGGAUUAAUUUUAUACCUAUCCAUUAACAUGCGAGGUGAUCAAGUGGGUAUGCAAUCAUUAAAGUAACAAUUAUAGCUACAAGAUAUUAAUUGCAAUAAACUUAAACACGUGCAAUUAAACAUAAUUGGAAAUGCAACUUAAACAUAUGACAUAAUCAAAAUGCAAGCAAGUAAAUGCCUUAUUACACUAAGAAUGCAAAACGUAGCAAUUCCUGACCAAACCCCAUCAUAUUUGGAUUUUCGAAAUUUAUUAUUUUUUUAUUUUUUUAAAUUUUAAUUUUUUUUAAAGUCGAAUUUUUAAUAUUUUCUGAAUUUUUUAAUUUUUUUAAUGUUCUCUUAAAUUUAUUUGAAUUUUCGGAAUUUUUCUGAAUUUUUAUUAUUUUUGAACCUUUUUUAUUCUUUUUUAUUCUUUUUGAGUUUUUAAUGUAUUUUUUAAUAUUUAAUAUUAUUAUAUUCGGGAAAACAGGUUCAGACUAGGUGGAACCCAAUCCGACCCGUUGACCCAACCCAAACCCGAAUCCAACUCAGUUGAAAUAAAUUUGUAAUUUUUAAUUGGGAAAAAGCCACGAAAAACCCUAAACUUUGUCUAAAGUGAUACAUUUACCCCAAACUUUUUUUGUUAUGUGAAAAAUCUCAAACUUUUCAAACCGUGUCACAUUUACCCCAUCAAGGGCAUUUUUAUCUUUUUAUUCUGUUUUUUCCUUUUUCUUUUUUCUUUUUCUUUUUUUUCUUCUUCUUCCCUUUGCCAGCCAUGGCGGAGCCGGCGAAUGGAAGCCAGCAUCCGGCAAGGGUCACCCUUGCCGACGUUGGGCGAGGAUGGCCCUCGCCAGAUCUGGCGAGGGUAGGGACACCCUCACCCGAUGCAAGUGAGGGCGGCCCUCCUCGGCGACGGGUGAGGACAGUAGGGACACCCUCGCCCAACGCAGGCGAGGGCAGCCCUGGCCAGCGUCGAGCGAGGACAGCCCUUGCCAGAUCUGGGGAGGGCACCCCUCGCCUGACGCAGGAGAGGGUGGCCCUCGCUUGACGCCGACGAGGGCUACCCUAGCCCAACGCCGAUGAGAUGACCCUCACCCGAUGCUGGCAAGGGCAGCCCUCAUCGGACGGCCAGCUUCCCUUUGCCGGGCCAGCCAGCGGAGGGAAGAGAGAAGAAAAAAAAAAAAUUUUAAAAAUAAAAUAAAAUGAAAAGACCAAAAUCCCCUAUAAUUUUGGGGUAAAUGUGUUACAUAACAAAAGUUCAGGAUUUUUGUAUCACAAAAAAAAGUUUUGGGGUAAAUGUGUCAUUUUAUNNNNNNNNNNNNNNNNNNNNNNNNNNNNNNNNNNNNNNNNNNNNNNNNNNNNNNNNNNNNNNNNNNNNNNNNNNNNNNNNNNNNNNNNNNNNNNNNNNNNNNNNNNNNNNNNNNNNNNNNNNNNNNNNNNNNNNNNNNNNNNNNNNNNNNNNNNNNNNNNNNNNNNNNNNNNNNNNNNNNNNNNNNNNNNNNNNNNNNNNNNNNNNNNNNNNNNNNNNNNNNNNNNNNNNNNNNNNNNNNNNNNNNNNNNNNNNNNNNNNNNNNNNNNNNNNNNNNNNNNNNNNNNNNNNNNNNNNNNNNNNNNNNNNNNNNNNNNNNNNNNNNNNNNNNNNNNNNNNNNNNNNNNNNNNNNNNNNNNNNNNNNNNNNNNNNNNNNNNNNNNNNNNNNNNNNNNNNNNNNNNNNNNNNNNNNNNNNNNNNNNNNNNNNNNNNNNNNNNNNNNNNNNNNNNNNNNNNNNNNNNNNNNNNNNNNNNNNNNNNNNNNNNNNNNNNNNNNNNNNNNNNNNNNNNNNNNNNNNNNNNNNNNNNNNNNNNNNNNNNNNNNNNNNNNNNNNNNNNNNNNNNNNNNNNNNNNNNNNNNNNNNNNNNNNNNNNNNNNNNNNNNNNNNNNNNNNNNNNNNNNNNNNNNNNNNNNNNNNNNNNNNNNNNNNNNNNNNNNNNNNNNNNNNNNNNNNNNNNNNNNNNNNNNNNNNNNNNNNNNNNNNNNNNNNNNNNNNNNNNNNNNNNNNNNNNNNNNNNNNNNNNNNNNNNNNNNNNNNNNNNNNNNNNNNNNNNNNNNNNNNNNNNNNNNNNNNNNNNNNNNNNNNNNNNNNNNNNNNNNNNNNNNNNNNNNNNNNNNNNNNNNNNNNNNNNNNNNNNNNNNNNNNNNNNNNNNNNNNNNNNNNNNNNNNNNNNNNNNNNNNNNNNNNNNNNNNNNNNNNNNNNNNNNNNNNNNNNNNNNNNNNNNNNNNNNNNNNNNNNNNNNNNNNNNNNNNNNNNNNNNNNNNNNNNNNNNNNNNNNNNNNNNNNNNNNNNNNNNNNNNNNNNNNNNNNNNNNNNNNNNNNNNNNNNNNNNNNNNNNNNNNNNNNNNNNNNNNNNNNNNGGGGAUUAGGUAGGACGAUUAUUCAUGAGUGGUUUCGACUCCCACGCCCUGCAAGGAGGCAGGGCAAAAGUCUGAGAGUGAGUGUUAGAGUGGGAUUAGAGUAGGACUGAUAAUUUUAUUUUUUUAAUUUUUCAAGUUUUAUAGCUUUUUUUUAAAUGAUUUUUUUUUGUCUUUUCUUCACUUCGUCCUUUCCCCUGCACAUUCUGCUCGACUGUUCUUCCUAAGGCCGGUUUUUGCCAUUUUAGUUUUCUAUUUAUUUUGUUUGCUUUUCUUUUCUUUCUUCUAAUUUUUUUUCUUGUUUCUUUUUUUUUUGUGCUAGAGAAACCGUUUUGGCCGACAGCCGCCAUGUAAACCCUCAGGUGUCGCUAGUGGGGGACCCACCACCCUGGUGCCACGUGUAAAUCACCUAAAUAAACCCUCAGGUGAGGGGCUUUGAACUCCUAACCUUCCCUCAAAGGUCUAAAGCCUACCCAGCGGAACCACCACGGUCGGUGGUUUUUUCUUGUUUCUUUAUUAUUUCUUUCUUCCCUUCUGGCUUUUUCACCGAACAUCCCCAUCUAUUGUCUUUUCUUCCAUUUUUUCUUUCUUUUGUUUACUUCUUUUUCUUCUCUGGUCUUCUUCUUCUUGCGACCUUUACACGUCGAUGCCACCUUCUCUCCUACACCCUUUUUCACCAAAACUCGUCAAUCAAACUAGCGCCAUUUUAAACGAGCCUCACUAUCUUUUUUCAUCAGCACUAACACUGCCCGCACUCGAGCCACCACCAACCUGACACCCACUCUCUCACAUAAAUGGACAGGGAGGAAGACAUGACACAACUUGCACAGAAAAUAAGCCCAAAUCACAACAUAUGGCCAUAAGUCAUAACCACGACAAUGUAAACUCGGAAUGGACGGAACUGAAGCGUGUAGAACAACAACAAAACACAUCUAGCAAUGACAGACGCCUAUAAUAAACAAAGAUUCAGAGAUAGUUAUGGGGGCUUCACUCUGGCAUUUAUACAAACAGUCCGCGAGCAUUACCGAAUGUUUAGAUUUCCGACUCAACCGGAACCCGAAAUGAGAUCGGGAUUCUCUGAAAACGAUAAAGACCUAUGGGGUCAGAGGGACCAAAGCUCAUGCGAACAGGUUGUCCAUGAGCUCCGGUCCAAUGCCUUACAAAAACGGAGCAUACAUGAUCGGACAAAACCUACCCGGUUCGGCUCGACGGAGGUACUGUGGCAAACAACGGCUGACUGAUGAACCACCAACGACAGCAGAUCACUCUCUUGGACUCAUGCUCUUGUGGGUUCUCUCGGACUCAUGCUCCUGUGGGUUCUCUCGGCCAAAACCAACGUCGAUGGACGUGGAAGAAGGGGGGCACCGCAAGAUUUGUUGUGUUGGUUUGCGUCGAGGACAGCUGGAUGACGCUCCGCCGGGCCUAAAUUUCAGCCCCCCUCCCUCUCUCUUCUGUGUCCCCUCAACUCCUCCUCAACUCUCUCGGUUUCUCACAGUUCCAGAAGAAGGGGGUCAAGAAGCGAGAUCUCGUGCACGAUUGAGCCUCUCUUUGGCUCUCCACCCUCUCUCGAGCACUUCUCUCGCUCUAGCUCUCACUCUCCAACACUUCUCUCACCCAAGCUCUCUUCCUCUCUCUCGAACUCCCCUCCCCCCCCCCCCCCCGGUUCUCCUCCAGCUCUACUUGCCUCCUCCGGUUUUAUGCUCGGCCAGCAAGCGCGCAUGGCCUCUGUGGCUGCCAACUUGCCGACCGGACUACAACCCCCGACUCGCAAAUCACGUCGCUCGCUUGCCACCGAUCCUCUGCUGCCCCUGUUUUUGUUGCUCUAUUUCUAUUUUUUCUUUUGCAAGUCUUGUAAUGAAGAUCAGUUGGGGGAGACGACCAACUCACUCACGGGCUGGACUGAAGGAGGAAAUGGGCUAGGUUGGGGCCUAGCGCAGGGGAAAAAGAAAAGGAAAGGGACAGGUCGGUCCAAGGCUGGAUUCAGCUCAACCCAACCGAUUUCGUCGCUUUUCGUUUUUUUUUUUUUUAAUUUCUUUUGUGACUAAUUCCUAACAUUUAAUGCUACUUUAAAUUAAUUAAUUUAGGUGAAAAAUUAGGUGUCAACAAAAUAUAAAUCAAAAAUAGAAAUUUUCUACUUCUCUAUUUCUGGAACAUAAAUGAGAAAUAAAAAAAAUUUAUCAUUGUUCGUCAACUGGUCCUUCAUCCGUUGCCGCUGACCACCGUCUGUUGGUUGCUAGCCAUCUGCCGACCCCUGCCGGUUGCCACCACCACCGCCGAUCGCCACCACCGGCGCUAUCCGCUAGUCCGCUGCCGUCCGUCACCGCUAUCCGCCGCCGUCCGAAAGGAAGAAAUUUUGUGUCAUUAUCAAAUAAAUUUCUAUUUUUAGAGUAGAAAUUUUGUGUCGUUAUCAAACGGUUAUUUUUACGUAGAAACUCUUCUAGAAAAAAAAAUAAAAAAAUCUCUUCCCCAGCCAAGAAGCAUUGUCAUGCGUAGCCUAAGGGGCCAUUUGUUUAAAUCUGUUUUUGUUCUCCUAAACACAAAUUUUUGUUCUUGGGAACAGAUUUGGAACAGAAACAAGAAGUAGAGAAAACUUGUUUCUUGUUUUCGAGAAUAAUUCCAAGAAACUUUUUUUUCUCCUUUUUCUUUUUUUUUCUUUGGCCAGUCGCUAGCAACCUCGCCGAAGCGUUGCCGGCCCUCAGCGAAGCCGAGCGUCGUCGGCCCCCAGCGAGGCUGGGCCUCGCCUUGCCUCACCGAAUCUGGGCAAGCUUGAGAUCGCCCAACUAAGGUGAGGCUGAGCCUCGCCCAACCACCGCGAGGCUCAGCCUCAUUGAGGGCCAGCAAGCCUCGCUGUGGUUGGUCGAGGCCGCCGACCCUCGUCGGCUGGUUGCCAACCAUGGCCGAGGCUAGUGACCGGCCAAAAGGAAUAAAAAAUAAAAAAAUAAAAAGGAAAAAUAAAAUAAUUAAAAAAUAAAAAAAUAAAAAGGAAAAAUAAAAUAAUUAAAAAAUAAUAAAAUAAUAAAAGAAAUUAUACAACUUUACUAAAUGUGUUUUGUUCUUUUUCUAUUUCAAGAAUAGAAAUUUUAUGUAGUUACCAAUUGUGUUCUUCUGUUUAAAAAUUAUUCUCCAGAACAAAAAUAGUUUAUUCUAUUUCUCUUCCUUAGAACAAUUUUUGAACAGAAACGUUACCAAAUACGCCCUAAAAGUCCGUUAACGACAAUCGAAAUAAGCAAACAUGAGACAAAAAAUAAACCAAGGAAGAACAUGUAGGAGUGGACAUUCAUGAACCUGAGGUAUAGAACAAGCCCUUGUCCCCUCCUUCGAAAUAUUUAUUAGAUUUGCAUAUAAUAAUAUCCAGCAACUAUUUUUUUGUUGUAGGAAUCUGGCGAAGAAGGAAAGAUAGAAGCCAAAAAUAAAAUACCCAAAAAAGAGAAAAUAAUAAGUUGGAAGGAAAACCCAAUCCUCCCACUAGACAUUAAUCAGGUCAAAGAAGUACCGCUGGGCAUUCAAAGUUCUCCAAUGUAUGAGGUCAGCAAACACAAGACAACAAAUCCGACCAGUCCAUAAGAUUUCUUUGACAGUUUUCCGCUUUUCUAGAGUUGCCUAAGCUCAAUCAUUACCUCGACCUAUAGCUUGCUUUCUCAAUAUUUUAUAAUAUUGACACCUAAAUUUUGGCUAAACAUUUAGGAUUAAAUUGCACAGAAAAUUAAGGAUAAGUUCGACCCUGACAAAAAAGGAUUUUCACGUCACUUAGGCAUUAAUCUUAUGUGCAUCAACUACGUUUUAUUUUUAUUUUAUUUUCCUUUAUUUUACUGCAUUUUGGAUAAAUUAUUGAAAAAGAAAGGGGCUCAAGCCCAGCCUUUUUUCUUCUUUCUCUCUUUUCCCUUCGCCUAGGCCAGGCCCAUUUCCCCUCUUUCUCUAGCCCAGCCCUCGGCCCCUUCCCCCUUCUCCUCCUUCCUCCCUCUUCCUCCGCAUCCCGCUCGCGCGAAGGACGCCAUAUGCAGAGCAGAAGGGCAAAUCAGAGCAGAUGCAGAGUAGAGGAGGAGCGACGCAGUUGGGUGACAACGAAGGGGACAGCUGAGCAGGCCUACCGCGUAGAUUGGACAGGACUUGACUCCUGUUCGACUGAAGUAGGGCCAGUUGACGUGUCAAGAUCUAGUGGCCAAACUGCCUCUGUCGACCAAGCUCCUCACCUAUAAAUACCAGGACCACCAGCUCAGUUGAAAAGGGAGGAAAAUGGCGGACGAGGGAGAGUAAAAAAAGAGAGAAAUCGUGAAAGAGGGGGAGAGAGUAGGGUUCGGUUUUGAGGAAAGCAGAGAGAGAGAUGGAGCUAGGACAGAGAUUGAGGGGGGCGACAGAGCGGGGUUCUCUUUUAACUUUUAACAGGAGUUCAUUAUGUGCACUCAAUAACAAGAAAAAGAGUAUUGAGCUUGACAGCAUGGAUUGCAAUAUUUUGUCGUGUGUUCAAAAUUGAGUUAACAAUCAUUUUCAGAUAGAUAUACCCUCGCCAACGGUUUGGUGUUUUGAGUUUGAGGAUCAUUAUUUAAAGUAUAAAAUAAGAUAUGAACUAUCAUUUUUUAACAUUUUUUUCUCCCUUUUUUCCCUUUUCUUUUAUGCAUUUCUUUGGUUCUUGACGGUGGAGUACAUAAUCAGGUCGAAGAAAUACUGCUGGAAAGUCUUCCAAUGGCUGAGGUAGGCAAACACAAGACAACAAAUCAAGGAAAGACAGAACAUGUAAUAAUGGACAUUUCAGAUGAAGAUAAGGUAUAAACAAGCCCAUGUCCCUCUUCUUCAAAAUAUGUAUUAGAUUUGCAUAUAAUAAUAUUCAACAACUAUUUGUUAUGCAUUUUUUUAGUUGUUGACGGUGGAGUAAAUGAUCAGGUCAAAGAAGUACCACUGGAAGGAAAACACAAGACAAGAAAUCAAGGAAAGGUAGAACAUGUAACCAUGGACAUUCCAGAUGAAGCUAAGGUAACGAUCCAAGAGAAAAGUAUGAGUAGGAAGGAGGAGAUGGUGAUGUUAGCAUUGAAUGUCAUGUCGUUGGGAUCAACUUUAUCAGCUUAUUUUGGGGUGAAGCGGCAUAAAUAUCUAGACUGGCUCCAUAUGGUAUAUAUGAUCUGCUUGACUUUGGCUUUAAUGCUAGUGAUAUCAGGAGGACACUCCCGCCAUGAGAAGAUAAGGAAAUGGGGAAGGCAUUUUACUCUCAUUAUAGUUGUGAUGACUGUAGUUAUAGUAAUUGCUGCCACUAUGCUGGGCAAAAGAAUGUGAUAUUGGAACCAUCCUACAUGCAACAAUAGGGUAUAUAUAUCUUGAUUACUUUCAUACAUAACAUGCUACUUUAGUCUCUAUGGUUGAGCCAUUUGUUUUUUGAAUCAAUCUUAAGGGCAUUGAUCGUUUCCAUAAAUUUUUUGAAUCAAGCUCCCAUCUUAGACUUUUUUAACCUUUGAAUUGCAAUGACUUCUUACUUUGUGGUUAUGUUCCCAAGUGUCUUGUUUCUUAAUGAGAUGUAUGUUCCCUGACUAAAUGUUGGAAAAUAUAGCCUCGAAUCAACAGAGCAAUCAAAUUGGAUUUUGAAAGGUGAUAUCAAUUUUUUUAAGGAUUUAUUUACCCCACAAUAUUGCUAAGAUCAUCGUUAAAUAUCCUCAAUGAUACAACAAAUUUUCAAAUGAGAAUACUAGAUGGUGAUUAUAGUAUAUUUCUAGGGUUUCUCUAAGAAACAAUUGAAAAGAUGACUGUAUUUUGGAAAGAAUACUCAAAAAUAAUUUCAUACCCGUUCAUCCAAAAAUUGACAUACAUACAUACAUACAUACAUACAUACAUAUAUAUAUAUAUUGGUAUUAAAGAAGAUAGGCAACUCUUCGCGAAAGGUUACAAAACAAAUGUAUCCCUUCAAAAGAAGUUGCAAAAUGAAUAAAGGUAUCCAUUUGGAAGAAGUUGCAAAAUAAACAAAUGCAACCCUUUUGAAAAGGCUGAAAAUUGAAUUAGUAUAAUUUUUAAAGGUUAUCUUGAAAAGACACAUAUAUAAUUAAUAGAACCCCCAUCCAAAAAAAAAAACAACCUUUGAAACUGUUAAGUGAAUUGCAAGCGCACAAUAUCCACAAGUAAUAAAGUGAUGAGUGAGUAUCAUUCCCACGAGAAUUGUUUCUAAUUAUCUAAUUACUUACCGAAAGUGAUCAAUCCAAAUAUUUAGCUAAACAAGUCAAAAAGGCAAAUAAAAAGUGAAUUAAACCAAUUAAAGGACUGAAUUAUAAAAGAGUCAAUUUUAAAGAAUUUGAAAGUUAAUUAAAAUUGCAACAUAAACCUAAUCAAAGUAAACCAAAAAUUAACAAGGUGAAUUUAAAGAUUUUAACCACGAUCAUAAAGCGUUAGAGCAUCCAACUUCACUUAACCACUCAUAAUCAAUUCCAUUAACUUGUCAUGCAAUAAAUUAAUUUCCAAUUGUGUUGGUGAAAUUUCACAAGACAACCUCAAUCUAAUAAUCCUUAAUUAAAUAUGUUAACCCACGCUAACCUUAGGUGAAUUUAAACUACCUUAAAGCAUUAAAUUCUUAUGGAAAUUCCCGGAUUUAAUCUAAGUAAUCCCAACCUAGAUCUACUACCAUAACCACACAAACAAUCUAGUGUACCUUGUCCUAGAUGUAAUUCAUGGUUCAAUAUCACUAGUUCUCAUGCAUACAAUUUUUAUCCGGUAUCAUGCAUACAUCAAAAAUCAUUUAAAAGUUGGCCAAACUUCUAAAAGCAUUAAGAUCGUGAUAGAGAAUGAUACAAUCAAAACAAUUAUAUUGCAUGAACAAAUCUUGAAAAUCAAUCAAUCAUGGUUAAGAGCCAUUGUAGCUUUAACAAAAGAAAUUUAUAACAUAAUUAAAGCUAAAUUUACAACGAAAAUUGAAGAAAACAUAAUGCUAAAUUAAAACAAAUUCACCAAUUUGAGUCACAAAUUAAUUCAGGUUUGCCUCUUUCUCUCCUUGACAUGCGACAAUUCUGCUAAGAAAAUAGAAACAUAAAAGCUAACUAAGAAAACCCAUAAUUUGGUGGCAGCUCUAAGGCUCCUUCUCCCCCUCUGAAGUAUACAGUACAAUAGGGGUUUAUAUAACCUUCAAAAAUCUACCUAGGUCAACCUUCCAUUAGAUCUUGGAUAGGAUUCCUUGGCAAAUUAGGAGUUUAUCUUCUUAAGAUUCAUAACCUUGACUUUCUAUGAACCUAGAGUCAAUUAUGGUCAAAUCCAUUGGUCUUGGCUGGCUUUUUCUUCAAGAUAAGAUAUUUUGAAAGAUGCUUAAAUAUUCUUAAAAAUAUAGAUAUAUCCUUAAAGAUAUUGAAAUAUCUUUAGAGAUAUUGGAAUAUUUUAGAAAAUAUUGAGGCACAGGGACUGAUAUGCAAAUCUAUCACAAUUACAUGGAAAAAUUACACAUUGAUCCUCACGUCUUUUGCAAAAGAUGAGCACGAUCUCUUAUAAAUCUGAAAGUUGUGUUUCCUACAAAAUUCAUUAAAAUUACAUGAAUAGCAAAUAUAUUCACCUAAAAUCCAUCAAAGCUUAGCAAAUAUCAAGCUUAAAUUAAUAAAAAUACUCUAUCUAGAAUAGAGUUAUCAAUUACCCCCAACUUAAAGGUUUGCUAGUCCUCGAGCAAAUAAUUGAAGUAGAAAAACCUCAUCUCUAAUUAUCACCAUCCAUUCACAAUUACUUGGCACCACAACUUAAAAGAAAACAUAAAUCCCAUCAAACCCAAAAUCCAUACAUAAGCUAUAUCUAACCUUAGCCAUGCAAUCCGUGUAUGUGUGUGCGUGUGAUCCUUAACUUUUCAAAUCAUGUAUACUCAAAUAAAUCAAGUUGAUAUGCAAUACCCCCAAACUCAAAAUCCACUAACCAAGUCUCAUGGGUUUGCUUUUCUGUUCUCUCUCUACUAAUGAAAAUCAAUACCCAGUCAAAAAUCAAUAGGUCUUUAAGGCUUAUGAUGUGGCUCAGCUAAGGAUAGGAUAUAAAGGAUUUGAGCUCAACACACCCCAUAAUCAUAUCAAUUCUCAAAGCAUUUGAAUUAAAUAAGAUUCAAGACAUAUCAUCUAUUUGCUUACACUAUCAUAGUCAUGCAAUUCACAAACACUUAACACUUCAAAGCUUCUAUUGAUUCUCUUUCUAUGCUUUAUAGCAAAGUUCCUCCCUAAGUCUCUUCCAUAGUGCAAUACUUACCCAUUGAGUAUCCAAAAGGCUCACUCAAGUUGAAAGCCAGUGGUAGGCAUCCUUAUAAGCAGUACUAGAAACUUGGGUUGCCUCCUAAGAAGCAUUUGCUUUAUAGUUCGCAGCCGAACUUUUCCAUUUCUUUUAAAUAGGUGGAACUAAGGUGACAAAAGAUGUUUGGGCAUCAAAACCUCAUCCAAAGUAGUGCUUGAGCCUAUGAGCAUUCACCUUGAAAGUCCCCUCAUUCUCAUUGGUAAUUUCAAUAGCUCCAAAUGGGAAUACUUUGGUGAUGGUGUAAGGACCGAUCCAUCUUGACUUCAACUUACCUGGAAACAAACGAAGAUAGGAGUUAUAUAAUUCUUUUUAUUGAUGCAAAGAAAAUCUUUGCUUAUGUACAAGUGUAAAAUGGAUUCACUUUUCUCAAUAUAAAGGAAAUAAGUAAACAACUGGUGUUUUAAUUAUAUGUAGAAUAUUAAAAUUUUCAGUUUUCUAGAUUUAAAAGUAACAAAGUAAUAAUUGCUUUUCAAAAAACUUGGUCCUUAAUAAUCAACUUUUCAUAUAGCCAAUCGGCACAUGCAAAUUAAACCUCCUCGAGACAAUCUAAAUCUUAUAUCCCCGUGUCUUAGAAAGAUUCCCGCAUAGAGUAGAGCUUCAAUUGGCAUUACUAAUUAUAUCUUGUGAGUCUACUGCUCAUUUCAUUAGAUCUGGGAAUAAAAAGUGUAGUUUAUGUGGAAAAGUCUCUACCCCUUCACUAAAUUAAUUAAACAAGUUGCAGAUUUUGAUAUUCGAAAUCAGUACACUCAUGCCACAUUUAAGCCAAAAUAAUUUUUGUGUCAUAAAAAAUCUCAAAGCCAUAUUUUCCCGAAACUAAAAUCUGUAUCAUAAAGAAACUCCAAAUUGGUAUACAUUUGAGAUUUUUUGUGAUAUGAAAAUUAGUUUGGGGUAAAUGUGGUAUGAGUAUACCGUUCUCCAAUAUUUGGUGAUAUUUGUAUAUAAUAUUAAAUUCUCUCUAGUUUUGUUGGUUUAAAAGAAACAAAUAAUUACUGUUUUUCAACAUGUCUUAGAAACUUGGCCCUCACAGAAGAUACAUCGGUCCUUGCGAAGGUUGCAAAAUGAGUUUCAACUCAUUUUGGUGAUGAAAAAUUAUUUAUCCUCGCCCUCAAUUAUAUAGAGAAGAGCCUAGUUGUCUUUUCUAUUUGAUUUCUUUUAUUCUUUUUUUAUUCUUUAGUGUUUUGUUUCCGCAUCGCUAUAAUUUCGCUUUACCAGAUGCCACUUGCUAUACCAAAGCCUUUACUAUUAACAUCACCUCUCCUUAAUCAUACAGUCACGUUGCCAUGAUACCGUAAGGAAAUCCCAUGGUGUUGCUUGCUUAAGAAUCUCUUAAACGAUGCAAGACAAUUUGCAUACAACUUGUUCAAAAAAUUCAAAGAUCGUAGUGGUGUACAUUGAAGAGUGGGAAAAUUACUAAAAAUAGUCAUAAACUUAUUGGCAGGGUCCUAAACUUUUUUUCUUUUUAUCAAUUUAGUCAUUAAACUUUUAUAUUUAUGUCAAUUCAGUUUAUUCAGCAAAUUUUGGCUUGCUAGUGCCAAUGUGGACAUUGGUCAUCUUACAUGGUGCGAUUGGUGUUAAUGUGAACAAUUUUUAACAAUAUUUUUUUUUUCAAUUUUGUUUUUGCUUCCCUUUUGAUUGGAGGAAGAAGAAAGGGAAGGGAAAAAAAAAAAGAGAAAGCAAAAAAAAGAGGAAAAACAUAAAAAAAAUCAAAGUAAUAUUAAAUAUCAUUAACAAUUGUUUACAUUAGCGCCGACUAGCCAAAAUUGACCGAAUGAACUGAUUUUUUAGACUCAAUUAAAUUAUACACAUUUUUGGUAAUUAUCCCAUCAAAUGGCAUGGUCUUGCUAAAGAGUGAAUUCGAAGAAUUUAUUAAUUUAUUGACAAAACAUUUAUUAAAAUAGUGAAUUAUAUUUAUUUUUUCGAUCGACAUUAGAAAAGUAAAUUGAUCGUUGCGAACGUUUGUUUAAUCAGAACGUUUCGCCUGCUUCGCUCUCUUCGCGGAGAAUUGCGCCCCACCCACUGGCGGACUAUGAGGUAUUCAAUGACGAAUGUCCAUCUUUUUAGUCGUCUCUUGUCAACUCUCUUUUUUUUCCUCCCCGUUGCUCCAAAGGACCAUCGCAGCACCCCUCCUUACGCGUCGUUCUCACGUUCGCCAUCCCUUCAUUUAUAAAUAUCAUUUAUAAAUAGGUUCUCCACCCUCGGAACAAUGCACUCCCAUUCAGACAUUUUCGCAAACACGCCCAGCGCCAGACCUUGCUCGAAACAGAGAACGAAAGAUUCGAGCGCUGUCCAUGGAGGCCGAAUCAUCUCCGUCCGUGACAAACCCAACUCUCUCUAUUGCCCUGUUAUGGCCGGGAUGUCAAUGUGUCAUCUCCUUUUUCACCCACUUGCUUUUUUGCUGAUGCAGAUUCGAGAGCAGCGAGAUGCUGGCGAGUUUCCUGGCGUCGACGCCCUUCUUGGAUGAGUCGUGGAGGCUGUGCAGCUUCGCAAACUCUGCCGCACCGAGGAGCUUCGUGGCAGACCAACGUGGAGAGGUCGGGUACUUGGCGUUCUCGGGCGUCCAGGUGAUCAAUGGGAACGAACCGAGCUGUGGGACCCUGGUGGCGCUGGGCAAGUGCGGAUGCGAGCAUCUAUUCUCGCUGUUGGAGUGCGACAGCGACAGCGAGGGGACGGUCAAGGUGGACGCCGGAUUCCUCCGUCUCUUCUUGGAAUUUUACCAACGACAAGAUUUCCAAAGCCAGGUGCACAGUCGUUUUCGCCUUUGUUUGACUUCCACUUAGAAGUCUGACUAUACGAUGGAAAAUUAACUGCGCGACAGUAUUUAAUGUGACGUGAAAAUGACAAUUUAUUAUGAACCAUAAAAAGUUAAAUCAUAAAUAAUUAUAAAUUAUUGUGAAUGUCCAUUUCUUCAAGAUUUUAUAACUCACAAUAGGCUGUUACUCUAUUAUUCUCAUAGUACCACGAUAAUUAUUAUGUUGGCAAAGCCCUUAUUCUUUUCUGGAUAAUUACAUUGCAUCUUCAGCAGUUGAACAUCAUCAACUUCCAUGAAAUUGCAGUUUAGCUUUCAGCCACCAUCCUGAUAAAUUGUUUAUUCCGUACCUACCAUGACGAAUCCGACAUUUCAAGGGCGCAAAAAUGCUGCGGUUUUACUUUCAGAAAAGAACCAAGAAAAUGGCGGCUGGUAGGAAAAUGUAUAAACAUUUGCGUGGCAGGACUCAAAAGUAUUUCAUAAGGCAUACGUCUCUACAUUUUCUUGCCUCGCAUGGCUUGCAGAGUCUUCUUUUCUUCUCUUUUAACAGCGAGUUCAUUCCAUGCACUUGAUAACAACAAGAAAAGAGUGUUGAGUUUGACGGAUUGCAAUAUUCCUUUUUACCAAAAUUAGUAUUUAUUUAGUUUAAUUAAAUGUGAAUUAAUUUUUCCAAGGCCAUACAAAUUUGUUUUAAAAAUGUCUAUUUGCUAAUAGUGUGUUUGGUAACAUUUUUGUUCUCCGCAACAAUUUCUAUUCAGAAAUAGUUUUUUCUAUUUUUGCUCCUUAAACGAGUUUUUAAGCAAAAGAACGCAUUUGGUAACUACGCAAAUUUUAUAUUCCCAAAUAUAAAAAGAACAUAAAUGCAUUUGGUGUGACUCUAAAAAAUUCUAUUUCCAAUUUUUUUUAUUUAAUUAUAUAAAUGUCAUUGAUGACUUAACAUUUCAUGUUUAGAAAAAACUGAACUUUUAUAAUGAUUUAAUUGAUCAAGAUAUUCUUAGAUGGCCUAAGAAAAUCCAACAUAAUAAUAAGUCAAAGAUGGAUGGGGCAGCAAAGAGUUACACUGAUUUAUAAUUCACAAUAUGAGGAGGUUGAUAGUAAAUUUUUGGGCUAUUAAUAAACAGGUGCAUAGACUUUUUUACCUACAAGAAGAAGAGCAAAUAUUGCUUGGAGUUGCCAAACUUUUGCGACCUUGUAUUUUCUCUAAAAGAAAAUUGUAUUAAAAAAUCCGGUUUAUUCAAUUUCGAAUCCAAUUUUCAUCAAAAGAUUUUCAUUUUUUUAUGCUAAACUAAUUCUAAAUUAGAAUUAACACUAAAAUCUAGUAAAACUACUCAAAAUCUAAUUUCUAAAUUGUUUCCUAAAUUUCUGAAUUUUUUUAUUUUGAUAUUUUUUUUUUAUUAUGAAAAAUGGGGACUCAAAUCGGUCAAGAGAUUGGACUUUGUAUCAAUUGUGUAAAGACAAACAUUAGAUUAGAUUGAGCUUGUUUUUCUAAAAUGACCUUAUUUCUUUGUUUGUUCUUAGGAACAAAUAAGUAUGUUUUUUUCUAUUUCUUGUUUCCAUUCCAAAUUUAUUCCCUAUCCAUGAUCUGUUUUGGGGAAUUGAAAAAUUACUUGAAAUUAUCAAAUUGAUUUCUAUUUUUUUUCCAUUCCAGGGAACAAAAGAACAAAAAAAUUAGAGAAACAGAAACGUUAUCAAAUAGAGCAAUACAUGAAUUCCACGAAUCCUCCUAAUUUGAAUGGAUUUGGUACGAAUCAAAAUUUAAUUAGAAAACAAAUUAAGAUACUAGUUCUUAGUCCUUAUGUGUGAAGGUGAUGUGAGGCUGUAAUUAAUUAAGAACUCUUGAAAAUCUAUUGACCAUCCCUCACUCUGGAAAUUCCACCACUGAUUUCUCAUCCACUAAAAAGAAAAAAAGCAAAUUCAUCUGAGAGCAACAAAGAUGCAUCAACUAUCAAGGUUUUUCUUCAGAAGGACCAUAUUGUUUUGUAGAACUUACCAGUCACAGAGAGCUAUACAGUCUUAUUGAAUUGUGCAUGACUGCUAUAGACUGUUUGGAGAGAUUAAGCGGGUACAAUAGAUAUAUAAUUUGGACAGUUCUUGGACUACAUUAAAUUACUAAUUUAGGUUAUUCAUGUUCUUCAUAUAUCAUAUUCCCGGGCCAUGUGUUGAAAAUCUAGAUGCAGUCUUUCUACAGAGCCAUCAUUGUAUCGUAGUUUCUAGUGAUAAAUUGUUGAUAUUGUCUCCAGUCUUUUCGUUUUUUUAGGAAGUCACUGACAUUAGUUUAAGUUUUCCUCAAUUCCUGCUUUCGUUCUGAGAGCAAUUUACGCGAAGCCCUUCAAGCGUUGAGCUGCUUUCUGCGUGCAGAUUCAGGAAUUUCUAGGAAAAUUUAAGAUGAUUAUCCUCACAGGCCAUUCCUUUGGAGCAACAACCGCCUCUCUCACUGCUCUUUGGCUCCUCUCGCAUCUACAGCCCAUUGCUUCUCCCAUCUCAGUCCUCUGCCUCACCUUCGGCACUCCCUUGCUUGGUAACGAGUCCCUUUCCCGAGCCAUUCUCCGAGAAAGAUGGGGUGGGAGCUUCUGUAACGUUGUCUCGAAGCUCGAUGUAGUACCAAGACUAUUCUUUGCUCCACUAACCUCCUUGACUCCUCAACUGCACUUGGUGCUUCAGUUUUCGCAAGUUGCUAUGGCUUCACCCAUUUUAGACCAGUUUGAUGAAGAACUGCGAAAACAAAAUUUCCAUGAAUUCUUUGGCAACAUCAAGGAUUGUGUUAGAAAUGCCGCACAAUCAGGAGGGGCGAAGAACAGUUUGUAUUGGCCAUUGGGUAGCUACCUAUUCUGUUCAGAAGAGGGAGCGAUCUGUCUGGAUAAUACAACAUCUGUUGUUAAGAUGAUGCAUUUGAUGCUCGAGACAAUCUUUCCAGCUUCCAGUUUUGAGGAUCAUCUUUGGUGUUUUGAGGAUCAUCUGAAGUAUGGUUAUUAUACAAAACUACUUUCUAUGCAAUUCCUGAAAAGGAUGAACAUCAACGGCCUCUCUGAGUCAAGCUACGAAGCUGGUGUCUUCUUGGCAUUACAAUCCUCAGGAAUAGAUCCACAGGUAAUUAAUUAAAUGCUUCUCAAAUCCACACGAGACACUAUCUUCUUGGCUUCCUAAUCCGACUCAAAAUUAUAGACUAUCAGUGCCCUUAUUUUGUGGAGGGAUUUUGUUGGAGUAAUCACUCGCUUAGAUGUGGGGCAGAACUCUCCUUCACUCUCUAGUAGCAGUGCAUGCAGAAUGAUGUAGGCUUAGACAUCUUUCUGGUGAUCGCUGAAUGGUAAAUUCUUAGUCUUCACUUUGUGGGUUGUGUUCUUUUCGCUGUGCAGGAUAACAAUAUUUCAGAACCAGCUAAAGAUUGCUUGCAGAUGGCUCGGCACAUGGGGCGUGCACCGAACCUGAACGAUGCUUAUCUAGCUGUCAGACUAUCUAAGAUAACGCCCUGUAGGGCACAAAUUGAGUGGUACAAGGUACGCUGCGAUGAGUCCGAGGACCAACUUGGGUAUUACGACACAUUCAAGAAAUUUGCAGCAUCCAGGAGGGAGUCCACAGUCGACAUGAACCUGUUCAGACUCGGCGCAUUCUGGGAUGAGGUCAUACGCAUGGCAGAACGGAAUGAACUCUCGCACGAUUUCCACCGCAGAUCCAAGUGGAACCAUGCGUCCCAUUUCUAUAUAAUCCUCACCGAGCCAUUGGAAAUCGCUCGUUAUUACCGUCGUGGCAUGCACAGGGAGAAGGGACAUUACAUCAAGCAUGGAAGGAAUAGGAGAUUCCAGAUUUUGGACAGAUGGUGGAAUCGGAAGGUUGCCGUUGUGGCGCAAGAACCACAACAAAAUAACAACAAAAGGAGUAGGACCAGGUAUGCAAGCUUGACUCAAGAUUCUUUGUUUUGGGCGAGAGUGGAGGAAGUGAAGGAUUGUCUCAAGAACGCCAAAGAGGAAAAGGACCAGAAUAAGUUGGAAGUGCUUUUGGCGAACAUGCAUAGUUUUGGGGAGUACGCGGAGGAGCUAAUUAAGAGGAAGGAGGUGUCCAUAGAUGUUCUAGUUGAGAACUCAAGUUACAGAUCAUGGGAUAAGGAUUGGAAAGCUUUUAAGUCGAAGCUUUCGCAGCCAUCUUCUGCCUAGGAAGCACAGACACUCCCUGGGAUCACGCUCUCAGGCAAGUCUGAAAUUUCGACAUCUAAUUUUGACACACGGGUCAUUCGAGGAAUUCCGACAGUUUCCGCCAUGCGCAACUAUAGAGGUGGCAGGGGUUGGUUUUUUUGAGGGAGGCGGAGAAGCGGGAGGUGGACUCACGGGACUGGUGGGUGGGAGAGCAGUGGUAGUAUGGGUGGGUCGGGGAGCCUGAGGGGGAGGAGCCGUAGGACAUCUUCUUGGCAUCGUGGUUGGAGGGGCUCUGGACGUAGUAAAGGGGCCGGUGUGGGGACCACCGAAAAGACAAUGUUGAGAUUAGGGCGAGCGAUCGAACAAAAUAUAGACAGAGGAAGAAAAUCUAUCGGACACAGGAUUUACGUGGUUCAAUCAUAAAGACCUAUGUCCCUGGGGAAAAUAACAGCGAAAUUCAUUAUAAAUCAAACAAUACAAAGAGAUUACAUACUCGAGUCACUCAAACAGUGUUUCCCAAGCCCCAAUUUAAUCCAAACCCAAGUCACAACACAAAUUAUCACACAAGCUCAAAACAAAUGCUGAAAAAGAACUCAUUUUCUUGAUCGUGCUUCAGCUUGAAGACAUGCGGCUCUUCCUUUUCUCUUGUACGGGUGCAGCAGCAACACCCCGAAAAAGACCUAUUUCGCGGCUCCCUUAUGCGACUUCUACGCAGGGUUUCGGCCGGCACUCUCUAACAAAGAAGAAACCCUUUUAUACGUGUGCCCAAAGUCGAGGGCCCACCACCGUUGGCUUCUUACGCGUGAGGAUUCUUUCCUCUUUUAUUUGCGUGUGUGCUUCUGUGUGCCCAGAGUCAACACUUUGACUCUGGGGCCACCACUUCUUCGCAGAGAACUUCUUUCUCUUUUAUUAAUGUGUGUCCAUUUGGGCCCCACCAUGGCUCAAUAAAAUUUCACCUCCUACUUUGCGACCGAAAGAAAAACGUUGCGGCACAUAUAUUCUAUUUUAUUUUCUCCUUUUCAGCAAAUCGCGUUUUAUAAACGCUCAAACUCGAGACAUAUUUUAACAAUCUCCACCUUGACUUGACAUUUGAGUCAAGUCGCAAUUGCUUCGCAAAAAAAUUCAAAUUCUGCUACUACUUUCCUAUAGCCUCCGAUGGGCUCAACCGCCACAGAUAUCAUUUAAGUUCAUGCCUCACUUGAACUUCGCCAUAACUGGGAACCCCAUCAGAAUACCAACUCCACAUGCACCUUUAACUACUCUGCAAGGAUUUUCUGACACAACAUCCUCAACCGCAGAUAAAGUAAAACCACUGUUACAUCAAUAUAUGUCAGGAGAUCAAAUACGUACCUUGUUAAUUUCAGCAGUUAUAGCAACCGUUAGCUCUAUAAGCUCCACCUCACUACAGACACCAUCUAGUAUCCGUACUUGCUACCUCAGGAGUUUUUGGUCGCAACUCCACCUCAAGUUGAACAUCGUCCAGAUCUGUAUUAACACUGCUAUAAUCACUCCUAACCAGAAGUACUUGACACUCAUCAAGGGUAACUUAUCUGCUGUUAACGGGUGAAUUUAUAUUUGGGCACCAUAACUGAUAACCACACUCAUCUUAUGCAUAGCCAUGGAAUAUGCACCUUGUCCUCCCAUCGAGCUUACCGUUACUCACUCGAAAAUAACACGAGCAACCAAACAUUCUAAGAAUAGAAUAAUCAGCAAAGUUACCUGACCAUACUUCUUCAGGAGUCUGCCAUUCAAUAGCAAUUGAUGGGGAUCUAUUCACCAGGUAGCUUAACGUACUUAGCACAUCAACCAGGAAACUCUUAACCAUACCAGCACUAGAAAUAAUUUUUUGGGCUAUCUCUAGUAAUGUUCUGCUCGUCAAUUCUGCAAAUUGUUGUGAUUUAUUGGCACUAGUGCGGUGUUUCACUAUGCCAUCUUUCAUGCAUAAUUUAUUUGCCAGCUCCAAGCAGAACUCCAUGCUAUUGUCAGUCUGCACACGCUUGAUCGACUUACUAGUCUCCGUCUCGAUCAAAACUCUUGACUGUGAGAUCCUGACACCAGCAUCAAACUUGUGCAUCAACACAAACCUCCAGGUCUUCUUCGAGCAGUCCAUAAACUCUCAAACAGAUGCAUCUAACGUCUCCAGGGCGAAACCUGUCAUUGUCUCACCUUGAAGUUUAUAUAGGCCAUCGUGCUUAAUUACUUUCAUUAUCACUAGGGCACCUCGAACAACCUUCAGAACUCCACCUUUUGAAGAAUACCUGCAACCAGCUGAAUCUAGAGCACCCAAGGAAAUUAAGUUAUUUUUCAAUUUUGGACACAUGCCUCACUCCGAUCAAUGUCCUCAUGAUACCAUCAUGCAUUUUGAUUUUAACAUCACCAACACCCACAACAUCGCAUUCAGUGUUGUUCUCUAACUGGACUUUACCACUACCCAUGCACUGAUAAGUGAUAAACCAGUUUUUAUUUGGUAUGACAUGAAAAGAACAACCAGAAUCCAAAAUCCAUCCAUCAAGCGAUGAAUAAUCAGUGACAGACAAGACAUAAUCGGCAUUAUUUGCUACAGCUGCAACAUUAUCUGCAGAAUCAACCAUAAUUCCCUUACCUUUAUUAUUCUUCAACUUAAGGCAAUCCCUUCUAAAAUGUCCCCUCUUGCCACAGCUCCAACAGACAACAUUAGCAGUCCUAGAUUGACUACGUAUGUUCAUAUUAGUACUACCAUUACCCACACGUGUUACAAAUCUUCCUCUAUUUUCACUUACUAGAGCAGUAGACACAGAUUCGUCAGAUUCUCUUCUACGAAUGUUCUCGCUCAGAAUCAAAUCUCGAACCUCAUCAAAUGUCAAACUUAUUGACCCAAAGGAAUUACUAACAGCAGUAACGGUAGUAUUCCAACUAUCAGGCAAUUAGGAUAAUAGAAUCAAAGCACGUACCUCAUCUUCAAAAUCAAUUUCAACUGAACUCAAUUGACUAACAAUCACAUUAAAUUCAUUGAUAUGAUCUGCAACUGACGCACUUUCUUUCAUCUUUAAGUUAAAUAGACGUCACAUCAAACAGACCUUGUUGAUCGCAGAGGGUUUCUCGUACAUAUCUGACAGGGCUUGCAUCAAAUCAGCAGUGGUCUUCUCAUUCGGGAUGUUAAACGCGACGUUACGAGCCAACGUCAGCCAAAUAACACCCAUAGCUCGUCUAUCCAGCAAAUCCCAAUCAGCUUGCUUUAUCAUCUCUAGUUUCUCCCAAGAUAAAUGCAAGUGCAAAUUCAUCUGGUAAAGAUAAUCUUCAAUCUGCAUCUUCCAGAAACUAAAAUCCUUCCCCUCAAAUUUGUUGAUUCUCACUUUUACUUCUUCUGUCGCCAUUGAUUUGCUUCAACUUAGUCAAGCCUGGCUCUGAUACCACUUGUUGAGAUUAGAGUGAGUGAUCGAACAAAAUAUAGACAGAAGAAGAAAAUAUAUCGGACACAGGAUUUACGUAAUUUAGUUGUAAAGACCUACGUCCACGGGGAGAGCAGCAGUGAAUUUCACUAUAAAUCAAGCAAUACAAGGAGAUUACACACUCAAGUUACUCAAACACUCUCUCAAUGUUUCCUAAGCCCCAAUUUAAUCCAAACCCAAAUCACGGCACAAAAUUAUUACACAAGCUCAAAACAAACGCUGAAAAAGAACUCCUUUUCUUGAUCGCGCUUCAGCUUGAAGACAUGCGGCUCUUCCUUUUCUCUUGUACGAGUGCAGCAGCAACACCCCGAAAAAGACCUCUUUCGCAGCUCCCUUCUGCGACUUCUACGUAGAGUUUCGGCCGGCACUCUCCAGCAAAGAAGAAACCCUUUUAUACGUGUGCCCAAAGUCGAGGGCCCACCACCGUUGGCUUCUUAUGCGUGAGGAUUCUUUCCUCUUUUAUUUGCGUGUGUGCGUGUGUGCCCAGAGUCAACACUUUGACUCUGGGUCCACCACUCUUCAACGUGCAAAGAACUUCUUUCUCUUUUAUUAAUGUGUGCCCAUUUUGGGCCCACCAUGGCUCAAUAAAAUUUCGGCUCCUCCUCUGCAACAAAAGAAAAACUUUGCUGCACAUAUAUUCUAUUUUAUUUUUUCGUUUUCAGCAAAUCGCGAUUUAUAAACGCUCAAAUUCGAGACGUAUUUUAACAGACAAGGCGGCGUCGAUGCUCAUUACCUGCAAGUUCGACUUCGCAUGAAUUGCGACGCAUGGUGGGUUUUUGGGACAGAUGGGUCUGCAAGUGCAAAGGGAUGAGAAAAUAUUAAGUGGUCUCACGGUCUCAAACCAAUCACGGAGCGUCAAAUGGAGGUGUAGAGGACAGCAGAGGGACUUCUCACCCAAAACAAAAUUUUCUUUUCUUUCUCGUCACUAGACCUGCACACACCAGCCUGCACACAUUUAUUUCACUCUCUUUUAUCCUCUCUUCUUCGUUCUCUGAAGAAGAAAACGGACCUGGCCACGCUUUCUCUCCCUCUCGUUAAUUCAAAUUCUCGAUCUCUGCCUCUGGCGCUCGCGUUCUCUGGCCUUCGCUCAACAUUUCAAGAGAAACGCUCCAGCAAAACAAAAUCCUCAGGUCAUUAGGAAAAAUCUUGUCAAGAAAUGCAUUGAGCUCUUCUUUGAGAUUGCGGAGAGCAAGGAAGACUUCAACAAGUUCUACAAGGCAUUCUCUAAGAACCUCAAGCUCGGUAUCCACAACAAGUUCUACGGGGCAUUCUCUAAGAACCUCAAGCUUGGUAUCCACGAGGAUUCGCAGUGCAAGACGAGGCUUGCUGAGUUGCUGCGGUGCCACUCCACCAAGAGUGGCGAUGAGAUGACCUGCCGCAAGAGGAAGAAGACUGUUAAGAACUCCCCUUUCCUGGAGAAGCUCAAGAAGAAGCGCUGCGAAGUGCUUUUCAUGGUCGAUGCCAUUAACUGGUACAAGUGCUUCUUCUUUUUUUUUUUUUUUUUUGGUUACGGCUAUUUUUUUAGGUCGAACUCUUACUGCUAUUUUAAAUUCAGUGUUUAGAUCUAUCGUAGAACCUUAUGUUUUGGGUUUUUGUUUACUUUUCACUCGUCAUCGGUUCUUGUGGUGGUAAUUCCUCCUCUUUUUCACUUUCGGUUCUUUCUUUUGUCUCUGUUGUUCUCCUUCGCUGUGCACCUUCGUUUUUAACCGGGGGUGCUCCGAUAUUGCAACUUUUAUAUCACAGGUUUGAUAGUCAGAGAUUUCAGUCAUUUGCUAUCGUCAAAUCCUUGAGGAACACCAUCUAUGAAUGCAUCUUUGUUCGUUUUCAAAGAGCAGUACGGUGGUCUGCUGGGAUGCCCACUGUCAAAAUGGAAUUAGAUUAGCUCAUGUUUGAUCACGGCCGGAACUUAAAUUUAGAGUUUCCCUUUGUUCAAGAACUCUCGCUCCUUAUGUUGAAAUAUAGCUUUAUACCAUGUAACCCAAGCUUAACUUCUGUGAGAAGCAUCGUAUCUCCACUAAGCUUAUCAUCAUUGGCGAAGAAAGUGCGCGGUAGCUUUCACCUACGAAAGUAAAGAAAAAUGUAAACGGGGCUUCGCCCCAAUUUGAAAUUCAAUUUACACAAAUAUUCCCCACACGCAUGAGAAUAUAAUACAAAGUUACUGGAGUUUUAACUGUGUGUUCGGACAUCAACUGAAUAAUCUCAAUGCCCUCAACAAUUUAUCGCCCCAGAAAAACAUGAUAUCCGUAUGGCAUCUCGAGCAGGAAGAUAGAAAAACACACACCAUCAAGAGCAGAAUUUACAAACAACCAGAACAACAAAUCUAUUUUUUGACCUCACUGAUCCGCAGUGGCCACAGUAUCUUCAUAGAAAACAAAAAGAAACAAUUACAAAAUCUUCACUAGUACUUUGAUAUGCAACAAAGAAUGAAUGAAACCACAUUGAUGCAUCUCUACCAUCUUUGUAACAGGGCCAAAAGAAAUAAUAGAUACGAUUUAUUGUGCUGCUCCCAUGGCUGACUUAAAGAAAGCGAGGGCCAGAGACCAAAGCGUUAGAGCAGCAACGAAUGCAAGUGCAGCAACGAGCUCCGGAGAGCGAAGGCCAGAGAAGGCGAGCGUCGGAGGCAGAGAAAAAGCGAGUGCGUUUGCUUUUCUUCCUCGGAAAGAAAGAAAGAAGAGAGAGGUCCGAAGAGAGGAAAGUGAAAUAAAUGUGUGUGUGGGAAAAAUUGUCCGAAAAGUCUUAAAUUAAUUGCAUUUUUACUAAUUUAAUCCUAAAUUUUUUAACUUUGUCAAUUCAAUCCUAAAUAUUUUCACUUUUUGCCGAUUCAGUCCAUCCGGCUAAUUUUGGCUAGAAAAUGCUAACGUGGACAUUAGUUAGCGGUGUCACGUAGAAUUGCCACCGUUGACGUGGACAAUUUUUAAUAAUAUUUUAAUAAUUUUUUUCUGUUUUUCCCUCUUUUUUUUUUCUUUUUUUUUUUUGGCUUUUCUUUGCCUUUUCCAGUGGCUGACCACUGGCCACAAGCGACGACCGGCCACCGGCCAUAGCUAGCCGACUGGCCUUGCCUCCUCACCCGCCACAAGUGAGGCUCGGCCGGGUGAGGAGGAGCCUCAGUGAAGAGAGCCCUUGCCCAAGCGUGGCCCUUCAAGGGUCGCCUGGGUGAGGCUGACCUGCGCCCAGGCCAGGGUAGCUUCACUGGCUGUCGGCCGGGGGAUGGUGACGCCGAGCAAUGCUGCCUUGGCUUGGGCGAGGACCGACCUUGCCAAAUCUGGCGAGGGGAGCCCUCGCCAAGGCUCGCUCUCUCCCAAGCAAGUGUUGGCCUCGCCAGAUCUGGUCUAGGCGAGGCCAACACUCGCCUGAGCGAGAGCGAGCCCUAGCGAGGGUUUCCCUUUUGGCGAGGCUGGCCCUCACCUAGGCUAGGGCGGCCUUACCCAGUCGAGGGCCAACGAGGCCGCCCCUGGCCUGGGUUCAAGUCGACCUCACCCAAGCUCCCCUUGUUGGGUGGUGUUUGGGCAAGGGCUCCCCUCGUCGAAGCUCCUCCUUGCCCGACUGAGCCUCACCUGUGGCCAGCGAGGCCAGCCGACUAGCUAUCGAAAAAGGCAAAGAAAGUCAGAAAAAAAAAAAGGAAAAAAAGGGAAAAGAACAGAAAAUAAUAAUAAUUCAAAAAAAAUAUCAUUAAAAAUUAUCCACGUUAAUGCGGGGUCCUACGUAGCAUCGCCGACGUUCGUGUCAGCAUUUUCCAGCCAAAUUGACCGAAUGAAUUGAAUCGGCAAGAAAUGAAAAGAUUUAUGACUAAAUUGAUAAACUUAAAAUGUUUAGGACUGAAUUGACAAAAGUGUAAUAGGUUUAAGACUUUUUAGAUAAUUUUUAUGGCUAGCUAGCGUGAGUGUGGGAGGGGAGGACAUCCCCUUUUCUUCUUCAGUGAAUGAAGGAGAGGAUGCAAGAGAGUGAAAUAAAUGUGUGCAGGACUAGUGACUAGGGAAGGAAAGGAAAAAUUUAUUCUGGGCGAGAAGUCCUUUGGUCUCCACCGGUCCCACACCUCCACAAGCCAAAAAAUCAAUUUUUUUUCUUCUUUUUUGUUUCCCCUUUUCUGGAGGAAGGGGAAGGGGAGGGCGGAGGCUGAUUUCAAGAAAGGAAGUGAAAGGUGAUGCCGGGGAAGAUACGAGAAGGUGAAAUAAAAUAGUGAGGCUAAAAAGUGAUUUCGAGAAAAAAAGGCACGGAAUGUUGAAUAAUGAUAAAUUCUAAUCAAUGUAGAAGAUCAAAUAUUUAUUUAAAUAAGUUUACUCCAGUCUCUUGUUAGUCAUUAGUUACAAACAAGAAUUGGUAUUGGCACCAUGAAGUGAAUGUUGGCCUCUUCAAAUCCAAACAAAUUUAAAAUGUCAUGCUCCAGUCUCUUGUUAGUUAUUAGUUUCAUGAACUUUUGUUAAAGUUAGAAACAUGUCUCCAAAUGUGAGGUUGCAUUUCCUUUAAAUAUGUCUUUUUAAUUUCCUAUGAAUAGAUUUAUUAAGGUUAUUAGUUUAAAUUUAUUCUAGACUCUUUUUGUUAUUUAUUUAAUUGUGAAUUUGAAUCAAAAUAAUUUUAAAACAAUAGUUUAUCAUGUAUGUAUAAAAAUGUUUCAUUUAUUGUAUAACCUAUCGGAAUUCUCUAUUUUUUUUUUUUUUAGAAAUGGCGUGUUGACAUGUGAUGUUAUGUUGCGUCGCAAAUUGGUGCUACGUAGCCUUUUGCUCCUAUUUUGAAUGGAAUGGAUUGUGAUUAAAGAAAAAUUAAAGAGUAAUGACACGAAUGGUCCUUAAACUUUGGCUUAGUAUACGUGAUUCCUUAACUUUUAAUUUGUUGAAUAUGAUCCAUGAACAUUAACCUAAUGUGUGAUGCGAUUUUUAAACUUGUGAUAUAUAUUCAAUAUGAUCCAUGAAUUGUAUAAAACAUUUAGUGUUGUCCUUUCAUUAAUUCGAAAUCAGGAACAGUAUUAAAUAUUUUCAUAUAAUCCAAGAAUAAAAUUAAACAUGUACUAAAAGUUUAUGGACCACAUUGCACAUUAAGCCAAAAUUCACGGAUCAUUUGAGUAAUUUUCCCAAAAAAACCAGUGACAUUCAUCAUUGCUUAUGCAGAGUUCUUCAUCCAUGGUGUAAUUGUGUUCAAUGCAGACAACGCUACUUGAAGGCCAAACCAUAGGUACUUCGGUUUGUAAAUAAAGUACCCGGGGAAGAGAGCUCUUUUUUGGUUUUGUUUUGUUUUGUAGUGAAAUGUAAUAACCUGCAGAAUAAGGAAAUGUCCAGUUGGGGAAGCUCCAUUUAUUGGAGCAACAUUACAGUUGAAUUUUUAUUCUACUGGGCCCUCCCCAAAUAGUGGAAUUCUUAUAAUCCGUGCAAAAAAAAAAAACGUAUUUGAUUUUUUGGUGUCGGUAAAUCUUUUUACCAGCAUUUGGUAAGUGGCAGAAAAGACCGACCAACCGACGAUUGUUUCUCUAUCUAACUUUAUUAAUUACUUACUAAAUUACCCACUUCGCUCAUAGUUUUGCAAAUAACGAAUCUUUUUUUUUUUAGUUAAAUGCAAAUAACGAGUUGAGAUUUCGAAAUCAUUACCUAUUCGCAGACCACCUCCGCCCAUCUUUCCAAUAGUUCAACGUAUCACCUGGGUUUCUUGGAAGUGCUCUGUUUUCGGUCUGUUGCCUUCGAAUUCGUGGAAAAGCCUCUGCUUUUAGUUGUGGGUUUGCGAUUUGGCGUCGUUUGCCGGUCCUCUGAUUGAUCAUUCGCAUUUUUGCAUGGAGAGGCAAAUUCUGGGAGGUAAAAUUGCCGGCAAGUGUUUUCCGUGUUUCUGUCCAGUUUUGAGUCAUUCGUCGUGAGCUAGAUUGGCAUUUGAUUGACGCUGUCGCGCUGAUGAGCAGUUUUUGGGUUUUUUUGUAGAGGCUCUUUCUGAUUAAAAUAAGGUUUCGAAGCUUUGUGUGAGAGCUGGGAGGGUCAUUUUCGCGAGGUCGGUUCGCAUAAAUGCCCGUAUAUCGGUCCCUAGGGUUUAUUUCUUUGGGGAAUUUGGAGAAAGCACCACCCGAAUUCUUGAGGGACAAGAAGAUGGUGCCUGAUUCAGAUCCUCCAAGCCUUAGGGAUACUGAUUCUUUGCAUCAGUUUUUUGAAUCAAGGUCUGAUCUAGAAUUUUUCUUUACCCUUUGCCUGCGAUGACAUCUUAGUUUUAGUUAUGCUCCCAAGUGUCUUGUUCCAUGACUAAAUUUAUGUUGCUGACCUAUGUUUGUCUAAUUUGGCUUGCAGUACGAAGCUUGUGGUUUUGACUGGAGCUGGAAUGAGCAUGGAGUAUGGUAUUCCUGAUUAUAGAAGGUUCUUUCGUUAAUGUUUAGAAUGAUAUUUUACAUAUAGCGGACAUUUCAAUGGAUAGAAGUCACUGAUGGGUGGAGAUAUUUCGUUCUGGUUAAUUUGAGAUAUAACAGCCACUCUUCUCAUUAAUUUGUUUUAAACUAAUUAUAUCAAAGAUGAUUUGAGUAUGUUUUCAUGGCUAUUCUAUAUCUUUUAAUUUGGAUAAUUAAUUGACUGGGAAGAACUGGAAGAGAGAUCUUGCUGUGAUGCUGCGUCAUUUUUCAUGCAUAACACUAGUCUUCAAGGAAUGCACUCUGCAUAACCUUGUGGUAUAUAUCUAUUUUCAACAUAUGUGGUCAUGUUUGUAUGAUUGCACUAUCAUGUUAAGCUUUCAUGCUGAAUGUGACAAUUUGUAAUUUUGUCUCCAUUGUAUAUAUGUCGACUGGUUCUUUCAUAGCUAAGACAAACCCUUCCAACUUUAUUUGUUUUUUGCAGUCCAAAUGGGGGGCUUAUAGCACAGGUUUCAGGCCAAUUACCCAUCAAGUGAUCUGAAGGCAUGUGCUGGGAUUUGCAGCUUCGCUUUUCUCCCUCCCUCCCUCCCUCCCUCCCUCUCCCUCUCUCUCUCUCUCUCUCUCUCUCUCUCUCUCUCUCUCUCUCUGUUUAUUGAUUUCAUUAUGUAAAUAGUAACACUCUGCUUAUUAUGAAUAGAUGAAGGAAAUUGAAGGGUCCUCUAGUACAUAUAUACAAAUUUUGGAUAAGGAAGAGGCAGAAAUAAAAUAGGUGGUGAGAAUUGGAAGCCAGGUCAUUUAAUUGAAAGAACAUAUUCCAUAGGGAACAUUUUUGUCACAUGAAUGUCUUUGGGAUACUUCAAUUAGAAUGUGUCUAUGGAAGUAGCAUAAAAUCAGGAUUGGGGUCAUGCCUAAGAAAAUAAGGGAGGACAUUCAAGUAAGUUUGUUGGAUUUCGGUUGUUAUAAACGAUAUGAUACUAUGGAAAGUACAAUAAUAUGUUGUAGUUAGCUGACUUUGCAUAUGGAGAAGACCUGUUAUCAAUUCUUGCUUUAAUAAGAUCUUUUCAGUUUCUUCUUGGGGCUGCUCUGUUGUUUUCAUCUUUUUAAGUGUCUAACUGUGUCUAAGAUCUUCAGCAGCUCUCAUUUUUUGACUUUAAUUCGAUGACAAUUCAUUGGGAGUUUGUUCGUUCUAAACGGGCCUGUAGGCGAUAUUGGGCAAGGAGCUAUCCACUCCAAUUUAGACAUUUUCACAAACACACCCAAGGCCAGACCUUCAUGCUCGAAACAGAGAACGGAAGAUUCAAGCACUCUCCAUGGAGGCCGAGUCAUCACGGUGCGUGACAAACCCAACUCUCUCUGUUGCCCUUUUAUCACCAGAUGUCGAAGUGCCUCCUUUCUCACCCAGUUGAGUUUACUGAUGUAGGUUUGAGAGCAGCGAGAUGCUGGCAAGUUUCCUGGCGUCGACGCCCUUCUUGGAGGAGUCGUGGAGGCUGUGCAGCUUCGCAAACUCCACCGCUCCGAGGAGCUUCGUGGUGGACCAAUGUGGAGAGGUUGGGUACCUGGCGUUCUCAGGUGUCCAGGAGAUUGACGGUUCCUAUCCGAGCUGUGGGACCCUGAUGCCGCUGGGCGAGUGCGGAUGCAAGGAUCUGUUCUCGCUGUUGAGUUGCGAUGGCAAUAGUGAGGGGACAGUCAAGGUGGACGCCGGAUUUGUCCGUCUCUUCUUGGGGUUUUACCAGCGAGAGGAUUUCCAAAACCAGGUGCACAGUCGCUUUUGCCUUGUUUGACUUCAACUUAGAAGUUUGACCAUACACAACUUUAGUUCUUUUCUGGGUAAUUUCGUCACAUCUUCUAUCGCUCAAGGAUCAUCAACUUUCAUGAAAUUAUGGUUUAGCUUUCAGUCACCUCCUGAUAAAUUAAUCGGCCUAUGGACAUUACCCAUCUUGUGAUUCAUAAUUUGGAUUGUUUAGUCCGGACCUACUACAUGUCAAUAUGACAUUUCAAGGGCGCAAAAAGCUGCAGUUUUAUUUUAUUUUCAAAGCAGAAAAGAACCGAGAUAAGGGCGGUUGGCAGGAUAUGUAUCAACAUUUGCAUGGCAGAAUUAUAAGUGUACAGUACUUAAUGAGGUGGCAUCUCUGCAUUUUCCUUCCUCAGCAGUGCUUGCUUGCAGGGUCUUCUAUUCUUCUUUUAACAGCGUGUUCAUUCCACGCACUUGAUAACAAGAAGAAAAGAGUGUUGAGUUUGACAGCAUGAGAUUGCAACGUUCCUUUUUUAGCAAAGUUAAUAUUUAUUUAAUUUAAUCUAAUGUGAUUUAAUUUUUUCAAGGACUAUCUGGAAAAACUCACUGCAAAAUACACAAAUUCCACAAAUCCUCCUACUAAUUUGAAUGGAUUUGGUAGGAUUUAAAAUUUACAUAGAAAGCAAAUUAAGAUACUAAUUCUUAACCCUUAUAUGUGAAGGUGAUGUGAGGGCGUAAUUAAUUAAGAACUCUUGAAAAUCUAUUGGCCAUCCCUCAUUCUGGAAAUCCUGCUGCUGAUUUCUUUUCCACUAGAAAUCAAAAAAGCAAAUUUAUCUGAGAGCAACAGAGAUGCAUUAACUAUCAAGGUUUUCUUCAGAAGGACCAUAUUUGUUUUGUUUAACUUACUGGUUACAAACAGCUGGACAGUCUUAUUGAACUGUGCAUGACUGCUGGAAUCUGUUUUGAGAGAUUAAGCUGGUGCAGUAGAUAUAUACAUUGGAUAGUUCUUGGACAGUACUAAAUUACUAAUCUAGGUUAUUUUUCUUCUUCAUUUAUCGUAUUCCUGGGCCAUGUGUUGAAAAUCUAGAUGUAAUCUUUCUACAGAGCCAUUAUUUCAUCGUAGUUUGCAGCAGUAAACUGUCAAUAUAGUAGUCUCCAUAGUCCUCUCUUUUUCUUUUUCUUUUUCUUUGGGGGGGGGGGGGGGAGUCAAAUGACAUUAGUCAUCCAGCAUAUUUGAACUAAUCAAAAAUGCCCUUGGGUCAUGCAUGUAUUGAGUUUUCCUCAAUUCUUGCUUUCAUUCUGAGAACCAAAAACACAAAACCCUUCAAGCAUUGAGCUGCUUCCUGCGUGCAGAUUAAGGAAUUUCUGGCUAGAGUUAAGUUGAUUAUCCUCACUGGCCAUUCCUUUGGAGCAACAACCGCCUCUCUCACUGCUCUUUGGCUCCUCUCCCGUCUACAGCCCGUUGCUUCUCCCAUCUCAGUCCUCUGCCUCACCUUUGGCACUCCCUUGCUUGGCAAUGAGUCUCUUUGCCGGGCCAUUCUCCAAGAAAGAUGGGGCGGGAGCUUCUGUCACGUUGUCUCAAAGCACGAUUUAGUACCGAAACUGUUCUUUGCUCCACUAACCUCCUUGACUCCGCAACUGCACUUGCUGCUUCAGUUUUGGCAAGUCGCUAUGGCUUCACCCAUUUUAGACCAGUUUGUUGGAGAACUGCGAAAACAAAAUUUCGAUGAAUUCUUCGGCAACAUCAAGGGUUGCGUUAAAGAUGCUGCACAAUCAGAAGGAGUGAAGAACAGCUUGUAUUGGCCAUUGGGUAGCUACCUAUUCUGUUCAGAAGAGG